rnacentral:lncRNA from 1 species
CUAGAGCAAGAAUAUCUCAUAUCAUCAAGGUUAAAAGCAAGAGUAUCCCAUAUCAUGCUUUUUCCCUGUCUUUUCCUUUGGCCUUGUUCUUACCUGCAAGACAAGGAGAAAGAGAGCAAUCAGUCAGCACUUGGAAUCAAGCUUCUAGUCCGGAACUAGCUGCCUGGAACCCCAUUGCUCUCGAGUACUCAUCUUCAACAUCUUAUGCUUCCCGAGAAGAUACCACAUCUGCCUGAGGAACAAAUAGGGCAAGUGAGAAGGAUACAAGGAAGCAUGUGGAGACAAGCACAACAGAACACGUGCCGAUACAUCCACUACUUUGUCAACAGCAAAAGUAUCUCAUAUCAACAGGGUCGAACGUACUUUAGAUUUGAUGGACUUGUUUUGACCUUCAAAUUCUUCAGUCGGCCUUAUACUCUGGCGGAAACAAGAAAACCCUCAAGCCUAGUUCAAGAAUAAGCAUGUGGAAAGUUACUUCUUCAAAAGCAAAAGUAUCUCAUAUCACCUUUUCUCUUUUUCUUCUCUUUAUCCUUUAUGCUACCUGCAAGAUAAGGAGAAGGAUAACAAUCAGCCGGAACUCGAAAUCAAACUUCUGAUCUGGGACUGAUUGCUUGGAGCUCUGAUUGCUUACCUUGUCUAUCACCUCUUUCAGCAGAUCUCCUAGCUCGGCGACUUGGGGGACUCCUACUACAUGGUUUGUAUCGCGCUUGACCAAGCCUGAAACUACAAGUAAGCAUCAAGUGAAAUUGAUACAUUACCUUGUGCAUCUCCACCAGUUAAAGAUACCACCCCUAGAGGGAGGAAGAGUACUUCCAAAGAAGAUGCCACAUCUACCUAUUAGACAGAUAAGGCAAGUGAAGACGAUACCACACUUCGGUACUUAAAAGUUUCGUGAUUACGAGAUCAUUCUUCCACAAUAUUUCCUAAUGUCAUUUGUACUAAAUCAUUCACUUGUACUCACUAAAGGAGAGCUUGAACCUAUAUACUGUGUAAACCCUUCACAAUUAAUGAGAACCCCUUUACUCCGUGGACGUAGCCAAUCUGGGUGAACCACGUACAUCUUGUGUUUGCUUCCUGUCUCUAUCCAUUUACAUACUUAUCCACACUAAUGAUCGAAUCAAUCUAGCGAAGAUCACAAACUUAAUAUUUAAGAUGAUAUUCUUUGGGGUAAACGUGAAGCUUAACCUUUGGAGAGAAGUGUUGGAAUCUAAAGGUCCUCGCCUAAGCCAAUCAAAGACAGAAUAUAUGGAGUGCAAGUUCAGUGAAAACGGAGGCCAAAAUGAGUUAGGGGUGAGGAUCGGAGAUCAGGAAAUACCAAAGAGCGACCGUUUUCGCCACCUAGGAUCUAUCUUGCAAAAGAACGGAGAAUUUGAUGGAGAUCUUACCCAUAGAAUACAAGCUGGAUGGAUGAAGUGAUAGAGUGCAUCCGGCGUGUUGUGUGACCGUCGUAGGCCACUGAAGCUCAAGGGAAAAUUUUAUAGGACGACAAUAAGGCUGGCAAUGCUGUAUGGCAUAGAAUGUUGGGCGGUGAAGCAUCAACACGUAGGUGUAGUGGAGAUGAGGAUGCUUCGUUGGAUGUGUGGGCACACGAGAAAGGAUAAGAUUAGGAAUGAGGAUAUCCGAGGUAAAGUAAGAGUAGCCGAAAUUGAAGGAAAGAGGAGGGAAAAUCGGUUACAGUGGUUUGGACAUGUGCAAAGAAGGCCUACUGACGCUCCGAUUCGAAGAUGUGACCACGGGACAGAGGUUCAGGGCCGAAGAGGUAGAGGAAGACCUAGGAAAACUUUGGAAGAGACCCUAAGAAAAGACUUAGAGUACUUGGAUCUAACGGAGGACAUGACACAAAACCAAACGCAAUAGCGUUCUAGGAUUCAUAUAGCCGACCCCACUUACUGGGAAAAGGCUUUGUUGUUGUUGUAUUGUCUUUUUAUCCAUUUUAACUCCACAGCUCCACAGCUUGAAUGAAAACUACUUCCAAAAAUAAUCCAAACGAAAAUUUUGCUGGCUGAUGGAAGUCACUUGUCCUGUUUUGAUCUUUUGUGUGGUGUCCUUUCUUACUGAGAACAGAAUAGCGUUUUGAUGUUAGCUGUUCUUAUUAACAAUACCCUUUUUAUCGAUCAUCCAAUGGAGUUCAGGGAUGAAAUAUUCUUGAAGUUUCACUUAUUGUCGAUGCGAACUAAGACAUUAAGGGAAAAUGGGUGUGGAUCUGUCUAUUUCUUUGUGCAUCUACUACAGCCAUAUUCCGAUUACGCAUCCAGUUUGAGUUUGUUGAUUUUGGACGCUUGGUAAAUCAGAAUGAUCCUUAAUGCCUCCUAUGAUUCUUAUUUUUCUUUGUGAUCUUUAGUGCCUUUUUACUAGGAUGGAAAGAAGGCGUGACCUGGACAUGAUCGUGAACAAUUUGAUUCUUCGUGAUCUUUAUGAUCGUAUAAAGGGAACAGGAUCUGCUGCUAGCUACUCUUGCAGGAGACGUUGAAGAGGGAUACACCGAGCGCUGGUGAAUGGUGUGUUUGCACCCAAAAUGUGCCCAUUUUUACUUAUUUGGGCCAUUGGGGUAAAAUAUGGUAUUUGAAUGAUUAAUAUGCAAGAAAGCUAACUUGGAAAGAUAUUUGGUUGCAAGUGGAUGAGUUUGACACUAUAAUAUUGUUUUUCCCAUUUGUUUGAGUGGUGGAGGUUUGUCAAGCCUUUGUUUAAUCAAGAUACAUGCAUCCUUGCAAAUGGGUAGGAAGGCAACAUACGGAUGUGGAUGUAGAGAACAUGUGAAAGAAGCCAACUUGCUUCUUUUAAAUGUUAGUUUAUUACAAGUGGGAAAGCAUGUGAUGAAAGCAUGUAGUGGAAAUGCAAGUUCCUCUUUUAAUAUUAUUUCUCCAUGCAAGUUGGCAAGUGAAAUACAAAUUGUCCAAGUUUCUUUCGGGCAUAUGCAAUAUCCUCAGCAAGGGGGUUUCCCUCAGAUCCCUAUAAAAAGAAGCAGAUGCACAAGGAUUAUAGACACUCAAUUAAACAAACAAAUACAAGCACAAACUCUGCUCAAACCAGAUUUGCCAAAAGCCUUCUUUUAUCGAGUUUAUUAGCUCUGCUGCUCACUUGCGGUAUCGAUCUCAUUUGUAGCUUUUAUGUACUCAUUUCCAGUCAUAGAAAUUACAAGCAAUAUUAGUCACUUUCCACUGUCAUUUACAUUUCCGAGCAACCUUGUCAUUUACAUAUUGUUCUAUCUCUCCAUAUAAGUAAAGUCCUUAUUUUUAAGGCAAAGAAAGAAUCUUGAUUUGAGCAACUCCCACUCAAAUGGUACAAUCUCUUGAUUUGAAGUCAAAAGGCGCAACCUCAAUCAUUCAAAUCCUGUCCACUAGCGGCAUCUAGUAGGCACGCCCGUACCCACCAAUCUCGUAUGUGAAGUAAAUCCCCGGCUUGCCCGCGAGGCCCAUGGUGAAUUUAUGGAGCAAACAUGGUGAUUCAUAAUGAACAAAAAUGUAGAGGAAGUUUGUGUAAUUAGGUCAAAUAUUGUGUCCAUCUUUGGUAAUGUGAUGGAAGAGGAGGGGGAUUAAUAUCUGUGUGAAAAUACGUCUGCAGCUCGUGCAAAUAUGAAAUGAGUUCCUUACUACUCACUAGUGAAUCAUGUAUGAAACAAAGGGUGCUAAUUUAUCAAUUGUCCAACGGCCCAAAUGGAUGCCUGACCAACAAGAAAUCCCUCUUUAAAAGGAGAAGGAAAUUGGUAACUGUUUGGCUGAUCUAUGCAUAAAACAAUGAGCAGUGCUAAGGUCACGAGCAUAUGGGUGGCCAACUAUAACAUUCUUCGUAAAAUAUGUCUUAGAUUAAUCAUUUUUUUUUAAGUAGAAUUGAUAUUUCGAUCUUUCUUGGUUGUAUAGUUAGUGUUAAUCAAGAGAAAUAAUUUUCGCACACUUUAUUCUUCUUCUGCACAUCUCUGUUUAUAUGUAUUGAUUCUCCUUGAUUUAUUCAAUCAAAACACACACACAAAAAUGACAAUUAGCAUGAAUGAUCAAUGCUUAAGAUUUUGGUUGCAGAGUUGAUCAACUUUAGUAAUGAUAACAUAUUGAUGACUCGACGAUGGCAUAAUAUCCAUGCAAUAAUGUUGUAAUGACGACAUAAUAAACAUUGAUCAUUUCUGCAAUCAAAUGUCAAAAACUAAUCAUUCUUACUAAUUAUCUAAAAUAAAUAACGGUAUACAGGGAAAAAAUAUAUAUAUGAGCAUGGGCAUGGUCCAAGCUAGGCCUGGCAAACGGGUCGUGUCUGUCGUGUUCGUGUCGUUUUCGUGUAACACCUGUUAUCUUAACGGGUCGUGUCGUGUCACACCCGUUAUCUUAACGGGUCUUUAACAGGUCGUGUCACUUUACCCAACGGGUAAAGUGACCCGACCCGUUAUGACCCGUUAAGAAAAAUAUAUUUUUUUUUUUAAAUUUGCACAUAUCACAUAUUGCCACAUAAAUAUUACUUCAAAACAUUAAAACAUUUGUCAUUUAAGUACUAUAACUACACUCGAAAAUAAGAGCCUAAUAAAAAAAUAAUACAUACACUACUAAGCUAUUACAAAUAUUAAAUGUGCAAGGAUAUGCAAAAUGAAAGAGUUUUUGUUUUAAAGGUUGUAAGUCUUUCUCAAAAGAUUAAAUCUCAGCCAAUCCAAAUGGUCAUCAAUUUUUUAAAUUUAAUUUAAUAUAUAUAAUUAUUAUAGUUUUUAGGGGUAUAAAAUUGUUAAAUUAAUAUAUAUAAUUAUUAUAGUUGAUUCAUACUUUUAUUAAGUAUAUAACAUAAGAUUUUGUGAUAUCCACAUCCACUAGUGUAAAUAUUUUAAAUUGAAGAUUAAAUUCAUUCUUUGUAUUCAUAUAUGGUCAAGGACUGUAGCCGUAAAAAAUCAUCAAAAUUGGAGUUAAAAUAACUGUUAAAUCGUGAUUUUUCGUUUAUAACCGUCGAAAAGUUUUGUCCCGUUACUUGAUCUCUGAAUGUUUGUUUUUUGUGAUUUUUUUGCUUAUGUGAUCUCGAAGCAUAUACAAACAAGUUUAACGGUUGGGAUCGUUGAAAUUAGUUUCAGAGAAUUCGUAUCCCAUCAAAACAAUACAUUGACUAACACUUGAGUUUAUUUAUACUUUCGUAUAACAUAAGAUUUUGUGGUAUCCACUUGUGUAAAUAUUUUAAAUUGAAGAUCGAAUUCAUUCAUUGUAUUCAUAUAGGGUCAAGGAGUGUAGCUGUAAAAAAUCAUCAAAAUCGGAGUUAAAAUAACCGUUAAAUCGUGAUUUUUCGUUUAUAACCGUCGAAAAGCUUUGUCCCGUUACUUGAUCUCUAAAUGUUUGUUUUUUGUGAUUUUUUGCUGAUGUGAUCUCGAAGUAUAUACAAACAAGUUUGACGGUUGAGAUCGUUGAAAUUAGUUUCGGAGAAUUCGUAUCCCAUCAAAACAAUAAAUUGACUAAUACUAGAGUUUAUUUAUACUUUAAUUAAGUAUAACAUAAGAUUUUGUGGUAUCUACUUGUGUAAAAAUUUUAAAUUGAAGAUCGAAUUCUUUCAUUGUAUUCAUAAAAGGUCAAGGAGUGUAGCUGUAAAAAAUCAUCGAAAUCGAAGUUAAAAUAACCGUUAAAUCGUGAUUUUUCGUUUAUAACCGUCGAAAAUAUUUGUCCCGUUACUUGAUCUCUGAAUGUUUGUUUUUUGUGAUUUUUUGCUGAUGUGAUCUCGAAGCAUAUACAAACAAGUUUGAUGGUUGGGAUCGUUGAAAUUUGUUUCGGAGAAUUCGUAUCCCAUCAAGUUCAUUGGUGUAUGUGUAUAUAUAUAUAUAUAUUAAGUAGAUUUAAAUCUAUUUAUUUUGUAUGUAUAAUUGACCGGUACACAGAGUAGUACAUCACAUGUCAUUAUAAAAAUAGUGGGAUAUAUCAUAUGUGCAAUAAAAAGUUAAUAACUUAAAAAAAAAAAAUUCUCACCACUGCACUUCUAUUAAUUUUCAUUUUUCCCUCUCUUUUUUGUUUCCUUUUCAACUUUUCAUAUAAUUUUCACUUUUCCCUCCAGCCUAUCCAUCCAUCUUUCCCUAAUUCCCUCUCUUUUUUGUUUUAUUUUCAACUUUUCUUAUCAUUUUCAUUUUCCCUCCCUUUUUCUUCAAAAAGGGCGGCACUGCAGCAGGGAAUGGAAUGGAUCAAUUAUGGAAUCAAAAUUCAAAUCAAUGGAUGCAUACAUAUUAAUUAAUAAUUAUUAUAGUUUUUAUAAUUCAAAAUUUAAUAUAUAUAUAUAUAUAUAUAUAUAUAAUUAUUAUAGAUAGUUAAUAUUUUGGGGUAUAAUUAUUAUAAUUAUUAUAGUUAAUUUAAUAUAUAUAUAUAUAUAUUAUAGUUUUUAAGGGUAUAAAAUUGUUAAAUUAAUAUAUAUAUAUAAUUAUUACAAUAUUUUUUUAGGGUUAUAAAAUUAUAAAAUUAAUAUUCUGCUUAUCGUGUAUCGUGUUACCCACAUGUAUACCCGAAUCAACCUGUUAUCUUAAUAGGUGCUUAUCGGGUUACCCGAUAACGACCCGAUUCAUUAUCGUAUCGACUCGAACACCUGUUAAUUUCGUAUCGUGUCGUGUCUGGUUAUCGGAUCGUAUUAGGAAUUGUUAGGCCUAAUCCAAGCGCACAAAAAAGCUGGAGUAAAGGCAAUAUUUCAUUUUACCAUGUUCCAUGGGGUCAGUUACUGUUACUCUCACAGUUGCAACGCCAAAAAAGAUUGCAAGUGGCCGCACAUUGCCUAAGACAACGACAGGUCCUUGCAGAAGCACUAUCAAACUCUCAGUGCGUGCAGGUUACAAAGUGGCAGCCUUUGCCCCUUGUAUCAAUCUAUCUCACCGUCCCAAGAAACUUCCAUGGGUCAUAGGCUCCUAGGGAUUUUGACCAACACCCUUCUCAGCCCCCGCCCCUCAACCCCUAGCACCACUCUGAUAGCUUUUUUCCUCUCUUUUUAUCUUAAGUGGGGCUAAUGAGGUUCCAUUCUCUUUCCUAUAUCCUUGUUUGGAUUCAAAGGUCCCGAAAGAAAACAAAGAAGGCGUGAAAUCCAACUUUUAUAGUACAUGUAUUGUAGUAUCUUGUAUCAAUGAUGUAAUGUUAUGUAAAAAAAUUUGUACAUGUAAUUUUGUAUUAUUAAAAUGAAAUAUAAAAAAAAGUCCGACUAAAGUCAUUCACAUACUUACAUCGAAUCAAACGAAAUUUAAAAAAAAUAAAAUUAGUUAAAACAAGAAUGAUUAUUAUAUGAACGCAUCUGACACAUGAACACAGUCAGAGUCAUCAGAUUUGCAGAAUCUAUUUUUAACAAAGGUUUGUACGUCAUGUAUGUUGGACAAUUGAAUUUCCCCAAUCCAAGUUUCAAGUUCCAACCAUGUGCUGACACAUUUACUGCACAAAAUGGAUUUGGAUUCUCUGCCCUUCCAUUUCGGUGUCUUUCCCGUGCCCUCCUAUUUUGUGUGGUCACGGUUAAUCCAUGCUAACAUUUUAUAUUAUUUUUUAUAAAAAUAAUAAGACAAAAAAAAAUAGUAAUAUAAAAUAUUGACGUGGUUUAACCGUGACCACACAAACAGGAGGGCACGAAAAAGGCAUCGAAUUGGGAGGGCAGAGAAUCCAAGUCCGCACAAAAUAUUCACAUGAGAUUUGCACUUUCCUACACUGCAGCGAUAAUAGGCCCACCACACGUUUUGCCUUAUCUACACUGUCAACCUGCUGGACCCUCAUCCAGAUUUUGAUUCUGUUUUCACAAGCUUGCAACUUGAAUGGCUACAAAAGGAUUGCUAAUUGUUGAUUUGAUUUCAAAUCAACCCAGAGGUUUCCUCUCUUUAAUUAACCUGUUAACUGAAAGAAACACAUGGGAAUUCCAGUCCAUUACCUGGUCAAAAGCAUUUUCUGAAUGCAUAUGGGCAGAUUCAAUGAUUUUGGAGAUGCAGAAAUAUGGAAAUAAUUGAAACAUUCCCAUCCCCUUUCCCAUGGCAAGUCCUCAUCUUCGAAGGUUCAAGUGAUCUCAUUUUUUUAAUUCCAUCGAAAAUCAUAUAUAUAUAUGUGUGUGUGUAUGUAUUAAAAAAAAUAUAAACUAUAAUGGAGCAAUUUGAAUUUCAAUGCAAAAAAGAUACAUACCACUCCAUCUAACAUUGAUACGCUCAAAAUUUCUGACCUCCACUUUAAAAAGUUGCAUCGUACAAAAUUUUCAUUUCAAUGUCCCUCUAAUUUUAACUAUUUACCUUAUGAGUUGAGAGAGGAGGGCUCUCCCUAUUUUUUCCCUUGCUUGUUUUAAAAUCAAUGAUAAUUCUUUGCAAAGGUCUAAGAGAAUAUAUAUAUAUAUAUAUAUAUAUAUAUAUAUAUAUAUUUGGAGUUUCAUAGGCAUUAAAAAGGUGGAGUGCUUGGGCAAUGGCAUCCACUUUGUUGUUUUCCUGGCUUUUUCCAUUUUUUCCACUUUAUAUUAUGUACUUUUUUCUUUCUCCGCAUUGGAGAUAUUUAGCUCAUGAAUUUCAGGUGUUGGAAUCAAAUUCGUCCAUCAUCAUGUAGAGAGGAGAUGCACAAACUCAACUAUCUGUAAAAUAACAUAUGAUCAUGAAUAACUUUGGCACAUGUAGGGUUCAGCCAAAGAUGCUCUGACAGUCAAGUUAGUAAGCAAUAUAUAAGACUCAAGCAGUGGGUGAGAGAAUACAGUUUGUUAUAAUUGUGUUACCAAAGAUGAACCUAGAUGAGUGAAUUUAUAUUAAUUGGGACAGGGACCUUUCCGAAACAUAGGGUGAUGGUGGCAUCGCUGGUCUGUUUGUGUAGCUCAAACCGAUUAGAGUUGUUGAGCCCAUGACCGAAUUUCUAAAGUAUAUGUAUUCCGAUCAGUCUGACUCUGGCCUGAAAAAUCAUAGUCCCACGCCAGGUUUUCAUUAUUAAGUCCAAGUAUAGAGUAUGGAACCACCUUGUAGAAUCAAUAUCAAUGGUGGGCAAUUUCUUGGGCCACAAGCCAGAAAUGUAUAUAGCUUUCUUUCGAUAUAAUUAUUAUGAAAAUAACAAUACUUGUUUAUUGAAGCUCUCAAAUUUAUUUAGUAGGUUACGUGCUAACCUAUAUAAUGAUAUAAGCUAAGCGACCAAGAGAUUUUCUAUUUUUUUUUUUUUGGGAUUAAAAAACAACUACAUUAAAGAGAAAAGCCCCUAGGGCAACCAGUUUGGUAACAAUCAAAGAGGAAGGCUAGAGUUCUAUCCCAAACAUGAAAAUCUGAUACCGAAUAACCCACACUAGUUAUAGCAUCUGCCAGAAAAUUGGCUUCCCUAAAGACAUGAUUCCAGCAAAUCUCCUUAAAAGAACAUGCUAGCCACUAAAUAUCCUCCAAGAUGUUCCUUAAUCUCCAAGGGGGUUAUAGCCACCUUUAAUAGACUCAAAACCUUGAAUCACCCUCCACCGCAAUACGAGUCAAACCUUUGGCCUAGCCAUCCACAUGCCAUCUCUCAGCACCAGGCAUUCCACAACCGAAAUUGUGUUUUGGCCAACAAAUCUAGCUCCCACAUCCAUAGGCUCUCCAUUCUCGUUUCUCAUCACAAACACAGCAGCCGCACCUUGAUGCAUAACUGAGCCAUCGAAGUUAAGUUUCACAAAACCUGCCUUCGGAUGGGACCACUGGAUAGGAGAAGUUAGGGAGGGCUUGCUACCAUUGCAAACCCCAGGUAUUGCUCCAUUGGCAUCAAUGAAAUCCCUCCCAAAAUUGAGGGCAGCCUUAACGAACCAUGUAGGGUUUGGAAUUUUAUUUUGGAAAAUCACCAAAUUUCUCUCUUUCUAAAUAUGCCAACAGGUUAGUAAAACUUUACUGAGAUCACACAUACCUGCAUCAUUCUUGUCAGCUAAUUCAUUGAGCCAAUCAUGGAAAGGAAGAGACUGAUUUAGUCUUAUGUUAUUAGAUAUAGUUUGACAAUUCCAAACUAGAUGUUCGAAAUUACAAUUGAAAAACAAGUGAGAUAUGUUCUUAUCCUCUAAAUUACACAAAAGGACAAGUGGACGGGAUGUUAUUAACGUAUCUGGAUAAUCUAUCUCUUGUAUUUAGUCUUCCAAUUAUGAGAAGCCAACUAAAAAUUUUGAUCUUAUGAGGAAGCUUAAGCUUCCACAUUUUCUUAAGAAAGUCACUUGCAAUAACAUUAUUACUAUCACUAUUUUGUAUCCAAGUUGCCGACUUAACUAAAAACUUACCAUUUGCAUUAGAUCCCCAGCAAUAACUACCACAUUGGGGGGUUAAGGGGAGGGGGAUACUACAAAUGCUAUUCACAGUAUCCUUAUCAACUAGCAACCGCAAGUGAUCUCUAUCCCAAUGUCCUAUUAGUGAAUUGACUCACCUUUAGGUUCAAAUCAAUAUCAUUAGCCUUAUUUGAAGGAACAAGGUUGGAAAAAGGGAAAGGAAAAAUGUAAUUAUGGGUCCAGAAGAGGAUGUUCUCCCCAUUUUCCACAACCCACCUCAUCCCCUUUUCAAUAAUAUUUCUCGACUUAAGGAUGCCUUUCCAGGCACAAGAGUGGUUUUGUCUAAUUUUAGUAUUAAGGAAAUCCUCAUUCUUCAAGUAUUUAUUCUUAACAAUCUGAACCCACCAAUUUUGGUUAUCCGUUAGAACUCUCCAGCUAAACAAGCAUUAUUAAAAGUGAUCAUUUUUCCUAAUACCCAGACCCCCAUUUUCCUUCGAGCUGCAAACUCUAUCCCAAGCCACAGGGACAAGUUUGUAGUCUUUACCCCAAAAAAGCUUCCUACUUUCUCUAUCUAUAGUUUUUGUGAUUUUCUCAGGGCACUUAAAACAAGGCAUGGUAUGAUUGGGAAUACCUAAGAGGUUGGCCUUAAUGAGAGUUAGUUUUCCCGCUUUAGAGAGAGUAUUUGCCUUCCAACCAGCAAGUUUGUUCUUAAUCUUGAUAAUUAUCUCCUUUGUAUUAACUUGAUCCUUCCAGAAAAUAAUAUUGUGAAUGCCUAAAUAUCUACCAAUGGUGGUUUUAUGCUGGAUAGCAAGAAUAUUAACAAUAUCACUUCUAACAUGGUUAUGGGUGUUAUUUGAAAAAUAAAAAGCUGACUUAUGAUAGUUGAUCUUUUGACCAGAAGCUUGAGCAAAGUUAUCUAGAACCUUAGCAAUAUUCCUGGCUGUAGUUCCAGAAGCCUUAGCAAAAAUCAGACAAUCAUCCACAAACAUCAAAUUAGUAAUUCUAAAGCCCCUAGGUGCAGUUAACAGACCAACAUUGCCUUUGGAAGAUUCUCCCAACUUAUUCAAGUGUCUAAUUAUGGGUUCCAUACAAAAGAUAAAAAUAGGGAUAACUUAAUAUAGAUCCAAUUUUGUGAGCUAUUAGUAGAAUUAGUCCACUUCAUUGAAAUAGGUCCAAUAAUUGAGAUUUCACGUAUGCUUAUUUGUGGUUUGUACCAUAUUUGCCCCUUAGGCUUAUGAAUUGUAGUAAAUACACAAAAUUUCUUAAUUAUGGGAUUAUUUGUGGUUUAACUAAUCCCUUAAUUGUAGGAUUAGUUAUAGCCAUAUAAUCACCUCAACCCCCAAUCCGUUUCAUCCCUCCUUUUUUUCCUUCUUCCAAACAAUUCCCUCUAUCAAUAUUCCUCUUUUUUUUUUUUGUCUCUUCUUUUCAUGGGUGAUAUUUUUGUGUUCUUCCCUCCAAAUUGGUUCCUUUAAUGGAGGUAUAUUAUAUCAUAUUUAUAUUUCUACGUUCCGCCAUGUAGGUUCCCAACAUUUUUCUUCCAAUACAAUUGGUACGACCUUCUUAUACAAUAGGUAGGUAGUUACUAGAUUAUAUCGGUUUUGUUUUCUUCAUAAAUAGUAGGUAGUUACUAGAUAAUAUUUUAGUUUGAGUAUUUAAAUAUUCAAAAUUUAAAAAUUGAAUAAAUGAUUAAAAAAAUUAAAGAAUUUAAAUAAUUUUAUUUGAAGGGGCAAAAUUGAUAUCAAAAUAUGUAAUUGGAUAAUUGGACUCAGUCCCAAAAACUACCUUUGUUGAAUAAUUGCAUAUCCAAGAACCAGGGAGCUUUUGCCCCUGGUAGAUCCAUUCAAGAUAACAUCCUCAUUGCGCAUGAACUUUUUGCCUCUUUUAAGAGUAAAAAAGGUAGAAAGGGUGCUAUGGUCAUUAAGCUUGACCUUGAAAAAGCUUAUGAUUUCCUCAAUUGGGAUUAUAUUAAAGGUGUGAUUGCUAAAUUUGGCAUUAAUAAUCACUGGAUUAAGCUUAUCAUGGAGUGCAUUACUUCGACUUCUUUUUCUAUCCUUAUUAAUGGUAAAGCUCGUGGUUAUUUCUAUCUUUCUAGAGGUAUUAGGCAAGGAGACCCUCUAUCACCUUAUAUUUUUAUGGAGCUUUUGGAUCUAGGUCCAAAAACAUAGGAAGCAUGAAUACAAGGAAGCAUGAAUACCAUCUGGUUCCGGUGCUUUUAAAGCACCAAUGCUUUUAACAACCUCAUACACCUCACUACCAAGAAUAGGCCUAUUUAAGUUACCAUUCUGCUCAUCACUUAUACAAGGAUCAAAAUGAAAUAGUCCAGAGCUCCUUGAGCAGGUAUGAAAGGAGCAGAUAACCUAGCUUUAAAAUCCUUAACAAAAACCCUCUCCAAACCUUCGCCUUUCCACCACCAAUUACCUUGGUUAUCUUUUAUUUUAUUAAUUUGAUUUCUCCUCCUUCUUAUGUUGGCCACUGUUUGGAAAUAUCUAGUGUUCUUAUCUCCAAGUUACAACCAAAUAGUUCUAGCCUUCUGGCCCAGAACAAUUCCUCAUUCUUUAACACAUCACUCAAGCUGAUUUUUAAUUUCAAUUUCUCUAUCAAGGAGGUUACUAGGAUCAGAAACAAUCAUAAUCUCUUGUUGAAUUUUGUCCAGGUCCCAAAGAAGCCUUUUUUCUCUUUUCUUUUUUUUUCAAAUAAAUUCCCAAAAACUUCUUUUUUUUCCAAUUUCCAACCAGAAACAUAAAAGUCCCUAGGUAUCCCUAACCUUUUCACAAGCACUACUAGAAAUAUUAUGCUCCCAAGUUUUCCAACAACACUUUUAAAUCCCGGGUGGGAAAGCCACUUAGCUUCAAAUUUAAAAGAGCUCCCACGCAGAUUAUUCUCACUUCUAUAGCUACUAGUCUCAAGCAAAAUGGGGCUAUGAUCAGACCCAAAUAUAGGGUAGUUAUGAAGAGUAGCACUAGGAAAAGAGUUAAGCCAGUUCAUGUUAGCAAUGACCCUAUCUAGUCUAUUGAAAAUAAUGGUAUUAUCCUUAUGUCCAUUACACCAGGUGAACGGUACACCAAUGGUAGAAAUAGAAAUUAAAUUUCCUUCAUUAAGGAAGUUAUUAAAGCUGAUCAUGUGAAUAUUAACAUUUUGUCGCCUCCAACUUUUUCUUCCAUAUUAACACAAAACAACAACAACAAAACAUUUUCCCACUAAGUGGGGUCGGCUAUAUGAAUCCUAGAACGUCAUUGCGCUCGGUUUUGUGUCAUGUCCUCCGUUAGAUCCAAGUACUCUAAGUCUUUUCUUAGGGUCUCUUCCAAAGUUUUCCUAGGUCUUCCUCUACCCCUUCGGCCCUGAACCUCUGUCCCAUGGUCACAUCUUCGAACCGGAGCGUCAGUAGGCCUUCUUUGCACAUGUCCAAACCACCGUAACCGAUUUUCUCUCCUCUUUCCUUCAAUUUCGGCUACUCCUACUUUACCUCGGAUAUCCUCAUUCCUAAUCUUAUCAUUUCUCGUGUGCCCACACAUCCAACGAAGCAUCCUCAUCUCCACUACACCUACGUGUUGAUGCUUCACCGCCCAACAUUCUAUGCCAUACAGCAUUGCCGGCCUUAUUGUCAUCCUAUAAAAUUUUCCCAUGAGCUUCAGUGGCCUACGACGGUCACACAACACGCCGGAUGUACUCUUCCACUUCAUAUAUCCAGCUUGUAUUCUAUGGGUGAGAUCUCCAUCAAAUUCUCCGUUCUUUUGCAAGAUAGAUCCUAGGUAGCGAAAACGGUCGCUCUUUGGUAUUUCCUGAUCUCCGAUCCUCACCCCUAACUCAUUUUGGCCUCCGUUUGCACUGAACUUGCACUCCAUAUAUUCUGUCUUUGAUCGGCUUAGGCGAAGACCUUUAGAUUCCAACACUUCUCUCCAAAGGUUAAGCUUCGCGUUUACCCCUUCCUGCGUUUCAUCUAUCAACACUAUAUCGUUUGCGAAGAGCAUAUACCAAAGAAUAUCAUCUUAAAUAUUAAGUUUUUGAUCUUCGCGAGAUUGCUCCAGUCAUUAGUGUGGAUAAGUAUGUAAAUGGAUAGAGACAGGAAGCAAACACAAGACGUACGUGGUUCAUCCAGAUUGGCUACGUCCACGGAGUAAAGGAGUUCUCAUUAAUUGUGAAGGGUUUACACAGUAUAUAUGUUCAAGCUCUCCUUUAGUGAGUACAAGUGAAUGAUUUAGUACAAAUGACAUUAGGAAAUAUUAUUGAAGAAUGAUCUCGUAAUCACGAAACUUUUAAGUACCGAAGUGUGGUAUCGUCUUCACUUGCUUUAUAUGUCUCAUAGGUAGAUGUGGCAUCUUCUUUGGAAGUACUAUUCCUCCCUCCAGGGGUGGUAUCUUUAACUGGUGGAGAUGCACAAGGUAAUGUAUCAAUUUCACUUGACGCUUACUUGUAGUUUCAGGCUUGGUCAAGCGCGAUACAAACCAUGUAGUAGGAGUCUCCCAAGUCGCCGAGCUAGGGAAUCUGCUGAAAGAGGUGACAGAUAAGGUAAGCAAUCAGAGCUCCAAGCAAUCAGUCCCAGAUCAGAAGUUUGAUUUCGAGUUCCGGCUUAUUGUUAUCCUUCUCCUUAUCUUGCAGGUAGCAUAAAGGAUAAAGAGAAGAAAAAGAGAAAAGGUGAUAUGAGAUACUUUUGCUUUUGAAGAAGUAACUUUCCACAGGCUUAUUCUUGAACUGGGCUGGAGGGUUUUCUUGUUUCCGCCAGAGUAUAAGGCCGACUGAAGAAUUUGAAGGUCAAAACAAGUCCAUCAAAUCUAGAGUACGUUCGACCCUGCUGAUAUGGGAUACUUUUGCUGUUGACAAAGUAGUGGAUGUAUCGGCACGUGUUCUGUUACGCUUGUCUCCACAUGCUUCCUUGUAUCCUUUUCACUUGCCUUAUUUGUUCCUCAGGCAGAUGUGGUAUCUUCUCGGGAAGCAUAAGAUGUUGAAGAUGAGUACUCGAGAGCAAUGGGGUUCCAGGCAGUCAGUUCCGGACUGGAAGCUUGAUUCCAAGUGCUGACUGAUUGCUCUCUUUCUCCUUGUCUUGCAGGUAAGAACAAGGCCAAAGGAAAAGACAGGGAAAAAGCAUAAUAUGGGAUACUCUUGCUUUUAACCCUGAUGAUAUGAGAUAUUCUUGCUCUGGUGUAGCUUGUUUGCAGAGGUAUUCUCGGGGGGAAAGAAAGCUGAGUAUUUCGAGAGGCUUCGUUGGGAGUGCCUUCUCAGAUAUGAGGAAGGGUUGAGCAUUUUUGUAGGUCUGCCUGUCCGUUGAGGAUUGAGGUCGACAUAUAUAAGAGUCUCCCUAACAAGAAGGAGUAAUACUAUUCUUUUACCCUGCUUGGUCAUAGCACGGUAGUGGGAGCUGCCAGCUUCACGUGUUUUAACUCUGUCAAAGCACUUUGAAAAAGUGGUAUGUGGUAUCUGGAAAGCUGAUGUUACGUGUGAAGAUUACAGACAAGCUUUAUCCAAGGAGAUCUGGCUCUCGAAGUUGAGAAAGCGGUGUGAGGAUUACAGACAAGCUUUAUCUAAGGGGCUCUCGAAGUUGAGAAAGUGGUGCCUCUUCGGUUUUCGAACAAGCAAUCAUGUCGGGGAUCUAUCUCUCGAGAUUCGGAGAACGGUGCCUCUUCGAUUUUUGAGAAAGCAGUCCUACUAGGAGUCUGGCUCUUGAGAUUCGGAGAUCGGUGUCUCAUCGCUUUUUGAGAAAGUAAUCAUGUUGGGAGUCUGGCUCUCGAGAUUCGGAGGACGGUGCCUCUUCAAUCUUGAAGCAAGCAAUCUUGUUGGGAGUGUUUUCUCGAAUGUGAGUAAAGAUUAGGCCUGUUUGCUAGUCUACCUUGCCACGGAGCACAGAGGUUGACACACAGGGACUUUCCAAUUAUCCAGCAGUGGUCCUGUUCCUUUACCCUUGUGGGUAAUAAUAUGGUAGCUAGACCUUCAAAAUUUAUGUGUCUAAACUUUGUUAGUGCUGUUUCUUUGCUAUUCUUUUACCCUUCUUGGUCAUAGCGAUGUAAUGGGAGCUGCAAGCUUCACAUGUCUAAACUUUGUCAGAGAUUUUUGGCAAAGUUAUCUGUGGUACCCGUGAGCUGAUGUUGCGUGUGGAAAGUGGAUGAUUGAACAGUAACAUUCACGUGCUUUCUACUUCACCAGAAAUCUUCGACAGAAUGCCCGUAAUUUUCGUAAAGUUGAGUGUGCAUGUGACAGGUGCUGACAAGGCUGAAAAAGCAGGUGCCUCUUCGAUUUCUGAGAUCAGCCCUCGUGGUCUCUGAGCAGCCCAACUUUUGAGAAAACAAGCGUCUCUUCGAAUUCUGCGAUCGACCUUCGUGGUCUUUGAGCAGCCCAGCUUUUGAAAGCAAACGCCUCUUCGAUUCCUGAGAUCGGCCCUCGUGGUCUCUGAGCAGCCCAGCUUUUGAGAAAGCAAACGCCUUUUCGAUUUCUGAGCAGGCGCCUCUUCGAUUUCUGAAGCUCCAUCGAGUGCAGAUUUUUAUAGAGGCUGGUAUUAAGUUCCAAAGCACACUUGAAUCUCCACCAGUAGAAGCUCCCUUCUUGCAUUUCUAAGAUCUUGAUUUGUCCGACCUCUUUUCUCUUCAACACCUUUUAAAAUGUCUGGCCCCUUCGACCGUCGUUUUAACUUGAACCUUGUUGAAGAGGCAGCCACGCCUUCUCCAGAUAACAUAUGGCGCCCAUCCUUCUUAUCCCCUACUGGUCCUCUUACCAUUGGGGAUUCCGUGAUGAAGAAUGAUAUGACCGCUGCGGUGGUGGCCAGGAACUUUCUCACUCCCAAAGAUAACAGACUACUUUCCAAACGGUCUGAUGAGUUGGCUGUUAAGGAUUCUCUGGCUCUCAGUGCUCAGUGUGCAGGUUCUGUGUCUAAUAUGGCCCAACGCCUAUUUGCUCGAACCCGCCAAGUUGAAUCAUUGGCGGCUGAAGUGAUGAGUCUCAAACAGGAGAUUAGAGGGCUCAAGCAUGAGAAUAAACAGUUGCACCGGCUCGCACAUGACUAUGCUACAAACAUGAAGAGAAAGCUUGACCAGAUGAAGGAAUCUGAUGGUCAGAUUUUACAUGAUCAUCAGAGGUUUGUGGGUUUGUUCCAAAGGCAUUUAUUGCCUUCGUCUUCUGGGGCUGUACCGCGUAAUGAAGCUCCAAAUGAUCAACCUCUGAUGCCUCCUCCUUCUAAGGUGCUGUCUAGUACUGAGGCUCCGAAUGAUCCCCCUCCGGUGCCUUCUCUUUCUGGGGUUCUGCCGACUGCUGAGACUUCUCCUAAGCAACCUUUGUGAAGGCUCCCUCUUGUUUGUUUAUUUUUACUCGUGUAUAUGUACAUAUUUGUAACUUCUUAGAGAUAUCAAUAAAUAAGCUUUGUUUCAUUUCAACGUAUUGUGUUAAAUACACCAAAGCCUUCUUCACUAAGUUCUUUGAAUUUUUCUUUUGUUGAAGCUUGUAUGUCGAAGCUUUGUGAGUGGGUUGAGGGAACAAAAGCAUAACCCCAUCUUGUAACUCAUUUUUUGUCUCCUCACUAACUGGGAAAUCAGCUGGGCAAAUCACAGGUUCAUCCUUAAAUAUCCUAUCCACUAGCAACAACCAUCAUUAUUGUAAUCCGCAGGACAAAAGUGUCUCUCCAAGCGUUUCCUUCCACAGUAGAAACACAUUUCGAACAACAUUUGGUAGCUUAGCAGCAAAGGGCACUCCUCAUCAUCAUCUUAAGUGGUAGCCUAAGGUAUACUUCCAGCAAGACUUUCAUAAAAAGGCCAUUUAGACCAGACAUGGUGGUCUCAUCCGCUCGAAUAAAAUUUCCUAUAGGCUGAGUAAUUACUUCUAGAAUCUCAGCAUCCCUAUAUUGUACUGGUACCCUUGGAAUCCUUAACCAAACUCUCAGGUUGGAAAUAAAGUCCCUGUCCUGAAAAUGCACAUGCCAUCUUUCCAUAUGAAAAAUUUUCCCUCUGACAUACCAGGGCCUAUUAUUCAAAGCAAACUCCAACUCAUCCUCAUCAGUAAACUCAAUGGCAUACCACCUAUGACCAAAGUGAUCAAGAUAAAAUGGAUUCUUGACUUUAUCCCCCCAGGUUAGACCAAGCUUCCAUUUAAUGGUCCUCGCAUCAAGUUGUUUUCCCACAAGCUUGCCCAUACUAUCCAUGUACUCGACAUUAAGGUUGGAAUAAAGAUUGGUAAAGACUUUGGUAACACCACUUUCUAGUGUAAAGGUACCACGAGCACCUUCCACCACCACCGGGGGUUGUCCAAGCAAAGGGUUAGCAAACUUAUUAGCCUAAGAAGGAAUUAUGGGGUUAGUGGGAAUACAAGCUUGCCUAGAGGAGGAGACUUCGAGUUGGGAAAUGACCAUCAUGGUUGAAAGAAUAAGGUACAGGCAAAGAGUGAUAAGAGUUAGGAUGGAAGUAACACCCAACUCCAAACCCCUAUAAAUACUAGCGGAAAAGAAACACCUAACACGUAACGGUUCAAGAUCAACAAUCAUACACAAGUAAAAUCUAAUAAUGAGCUGAAUACUGAAAGAGCCAAUCCAAGCAACAAAGCAAGCAUGCUUAGCCUCGAGACUCAUAAAAGCAAACCAAUCAAACAUGUAAAACCUAAUAACUAACUACUCGAAAACAUAAUUUGAGCUAGAAAUCGAAAAACCAGACAAACAAUAGCAACUCUUUAGCUUCCUUCUAGCACCAUAAUUAACAAUGCAGUAAUAAGCCCAAUAAGAAAUGAAACUUACCUUGCACGCCCAUCCUGGGAAAACACUCACCUUGCAGCAGCCAUUAAGCAUUGACGUCAUCGACCAAGAAUGUUUUCUUGGGAAAGUCCUCAGCUUCUGCAUAUCGCUAACUUCCUUGCACACUCCGAAUAGCAGAACAUCUAGUAUAUGGUAGUAAACAACAGCUUGCGUCACCCCCAACUCACCGACCUUAGGUAAAUCCCUCGUCUCUUGAUCUUCUCAUUAUGGAUUAGCUCUUCGCACUCACCUCUUCUAACAUAAUGAUUAUAAAAAAGGGAACUUUAACAAAAAGCAUCCGAUACUGUUCACUUUAACGAAAAACCACAUUUUUAUACUAAAACGUCAAUCCUGGUACUAUUCACUUUACCCUUUAUUUUGUCCUUAUCCUUAAAACUUAAAGUUUUCAAGCUCUUUUAAUUAGUUUUCCUUAUAAAAAACCUCCCGAAACACUGCCUCGUUAAGACAAAUGCGCCUUAUCGGAAAGAAAAAAACUCCAGUUUCUCUUGAAAAUCUGCCUUAAUUGAAAUUUCCCUCCCCUCCAUUAUCCAACUAUUUAGCCAAUUAACUACAACCCAGCUGAAAUUUGCAAAAAAAUAUAAUUAUCCAAGUGGAUUAAUUAUACCAGAGUGAACCCUAACCCUAGAAAUUUCCCCCUUUUUCCCCUCUCUACUCUCAUCCCCUCUCCCACUAGGUUUUUUCAAGAGAUUUUUUGUUACGUCACGGUCCACCUCAUGUUUUACCCUAAAAUAUUAUAAAUCAGAUUAAUCAAUUAAAGUGUUGUGAUUUUAAUUUAAACAUCAUAUAACAGUAUUACAAUUACAUAUAAAACUUCUCGACUAGGCUAUGGAUAGAUUGUUUGUAAUAUGUACUCAAACGGGUCUAUAGGGCCUACAAAAUUUUCUUGAAUUGGUUGGUCGAGACUCAAAAAAACAACUUGACCAAUGUGUUUUGAUGGGCUAAUUAGAUUCUUUUUUACUCUCAAUAUGAACAUGUCAUUCGGGCCUGAUCCGACAAACUAUUUUUUCUCCUCCUCUCUCUUUCACAUGUGUUAUGCCAAUAAUUUAAGUUCAAUUGGUCUAGUUCUGCCAAGGACUAGGUGAUUGAAGUUCUCAAACUUAUUUUGCUUGUCGUUUAAGGCGUGUACAAAUGCAGAUUUGGCGGUAAGGAACUUACAUAUAGAACACAUCAAAUCAAGAGUUGUGGUACUUGCAUAUGAGCAUCUAUUAAUCAUCGACGAGCUGUGAGACUUACUUUUAUUAACAUGGCUGAUAUUCAUAUGCACAUGUAAAAGAAUUUUCAAUAGUAUUUUUCUUUAAUUAUAAUUAACACGAAAAAAUACCAUAAACUUUUAACUUUUGCAGCAGCAUGCUACUGAUUCUCACGCAAUGCAAAGUUCAAGGAGGAUUCUCGCUAGAUUCUCUUUGUGAGGAUCCUAAGAACCCUCUAAUCACAUCCGUUCAUCGUAUAUUGUGCUGACAAAAAUCAUUGUAAAAUUUUUUAUUUAAAAUUAAAUAUAAUCAGUACCUGAUAAAAACUGACCAUACGAUGUACGAUGAAUGAAUGUGAUUAGAGGAUCCGGCUCUCAUGCAACGUCCAAGAGUUGUACCUUUUUGCUGACACAUGGGGCCUUCUAAGCAUCCAAUUAACACACAGCUAGCUAUCUCGCCUAUUGAGGUUGAUGUGGCCGGCUUGCAUGCCAAAAAUCCAAGUCUUAUUAACUAUAUAUAUAUAUUUUCUUCAAGGGUUGAAAGUUGCGGAUGUGGUGCUACAUAGUUGAAGGCAAAGCGUAUACUUCGUCUGAACUUGCAGCAAGAUAUUCAAGUUAUGACGACGUAAUAUGUGAUUUAUGACUUAAUAACAAAUCCGACUACAAUCUUCAUUCUCAUAAACAAAAUCUAAUUGUUUAUUUUUCAAAUCACUCAAUGCUACGUACUGCAAGAGAAAAUUGACUUCAUAAAGUUUUGUUAAAAAUGAUAUGCAAUAAUAAUAUUUGGUGGAAGAAUGAUUACUUCAACUAUCGGCAAAAAGCAAAGUAUUACAAUCAUUCCUAGAGAUUUUGCAACUUUAUUAAGUAGAUAUAGAGAUAUGUCAAUGGGAUUAUAGAACCAUAAUUGAUAAAUUAGGUCCCGGCCACAAGAGAAAAACCAGGGGGGUUUGCAUUUGUUAAUUAAAAGAAGAUUAAUUAAUCAACACAUAAGGGUACAACUGUAGGGUCUGUAUACGGGUGGCCAUGAUAAUUGCCAUCACACCUUUUCUGAAAAAGCCAUCAACAAUAGGUCUCACAAAAUAGCUAAAAUAUAUAAAAAUAAUAAUAAUACAAAUCAAGUAAGGAAAAAAGAAAAGAAAAGAAAGGGUUGCAAAUGCCAAUCUCUUUACACACACUUACAUAUGUAUCUUAAGAUUGUUAAAAAACUUUUGGAAAAAGUAGGGGAAUCUACUACUCAAGCUUUGUGAGGGGGGCAUUGGUAGCACUUUGUGAAUAGACCAAAUGUGUUAACUUGGUUUAUGAAGUUGAGCAUGCUUGCCCAUCCUCCAAACCCAAAUCCCACUAUCAAAACCCAUACCACCACAAAGAUGUUCAUGGUGUAUGAUCCUGCCCAGCCUCCUAAGAAUGAUGGUGGUUUCUCCACAGCAUUCUGCAUGUGUGUCAUAAAAAACAACAACUAGUCAAUACCUGCACUCAUAUGUCCGUUCAUAUCUUCUUAACAUGGUUUGAUAUGUUAUGUUUUCAGACUGUCAGUUCAAACCAUGAAUUGUAUAGAUUUUAGUUUGAGUUAAUGUAUUUGGCAUGAGGUGGUUACCGUCUUUUGCAAUUAUUAUAUCCCAUGCCAAUUAAUAUUUUCAUUUAACGAAAUGAAAAACAACAAUGAAUAUAUCAAAUUAUCAAACAAAAGUAAUUACUAAUUUGAUUAUUCUUUUUUUGUUUUUUUGAUGCAAAGGUACGAUAUUCAUUAAACAAAUUAGAAUACGUACAAACUUAUAUUCUUUGAAUGGUCUAAAUUUACAAUUACAUGUCUGAUACAUGGUAUGAGAACGUUACUCUCCUUAGCAAUUAUUCAAACUUAUAUUUCUAUAUAUAGCAACAUAAAGCAUUAGUAUGUCAUGUCACUCAAUUAUCAAUCUAAAUUAUGAAUUAAGCAUGUUCUUAUAUGAAUAUAUAGUAAAAAAUGAUAGUUUGAUAACAUGUAGGAUAUAUUUCAGAUAUAUUUGAGCAUUAUCGUUAGCAAUGAUUAUCUAAUAUAUAUUUAAGAUAUAUUCGACCAUUAUCCUUAGCAAUGAUUCGACCCCAUGCAAAGAUUAAAGGAAGACUAACCUCUCUAGCAGAUGCAGAAGCAAAGGUGACCAUGUGAGCUAAAGCAGGAAUUAUGUAGACAGUAAAGCUGACAAGAAGAGAUCCAACAGUUGAGUUGAUGGGCCCAAAGAAUGGGAAAAUGAUGGCAAGGAACCAUAUCGGGAUCACCACUGGGAGCCUCGCCAGUGCCCUCUUCACCAUGCUCUUGGUCUCAUGCAUUUGAAUGAAUUUCUCCCACACAAAGUACAAAGGAGUGCAAGCAAAUCCAAAUGUGAUAAACUGCAUGCACAAAUUAAUCCAAUUAUAUAUGUAAUUCAACAAUUAAUAUUUAGAAAUAAUUAGAUGCGAUUAAGAAACCGUGUUAAUUAAUUACCUGAUGAAUGAGCAUUAGGACUACUGCAGUGUCUCUAAACCUAGUCUUUGGAAGCAUGGCUAGGGCAUUGGAAUGAGUCAAGAGAUUGUCCCCGAAAGCCCAGUACACAGCAGACGCAGAUGGUAGGGUUAAGGUCAGCACAUACAGUGUUGCCAUCAAGUAUAUUAACUUGAACUUUUGUGGCUUCCACAUUGCAUGCAUAAUUUCCCUAUAUAUAUAUACCACACAACAUUAAUUAAUCCUUGUUAAUCAAAUUAAUUAAUUAAAACCCAAGUUAUUAUCAUUACUGCUUAUUUAUUCAUUAUAAUUAUUUACAAAUGCUCACACUGUAACAGCAUGUCCACCAAAUGUGUAGAGAAUGUUGGUAGCCCCAGUAAAGUAUAGAACCAUUGUGCUUGGACCAGAGUGCUUCACUCCCUCAACCUUUGUGGACACAUAGAAAUUAAUUAUAAUUAGGGUUGACUGCAAAAAGAUCUUCCAAGAUUUUUGCUGAUUUAAAUUAAUUAUAUAAUGAAUUCAUACUGUGUAUAUUUAUAUAAUUAAAAUACCUGCCCAUGGAUAAGGGAAGCAAUGGUGAGAUACCAAGCAGUGUAAGUAGUCAUAAUAAGGCCCAAAAAUGACCAAAUUCGGUAAUUAUGGAAUGAGGGGAUGAAGACAGUUGUAGCACAGCAAGCUCCAAAGAUGUAAGUCCAAGUUCUCUUGUCGAGAUUGUCGUUUAUGUAGUAGAUGUUACUGGGAUUAAAACAAAGGCAUCAGACAAACCAAUACCAACUUUUAUGUAAUUCAUAACAUCUAUAUGGUUAUGAUUACGUACCUUGCACAGGCAAUUAACUGAAUUACAGAUCCAAAGAGAAGAAAAGUGCAGUUGAAAAAAAGGCCUACAUUCCUCCAAUGUUUUCCCAAAAGCCCAUCAAGAACUUCAAACCACUGCAAAUUAAUUACCAAUCAUUAUUGACGUUUUGCGUUUGAAGUAUUUUUCUUUGAAAUCUGAAGUGGAAUGUUAUCAAGGGCUUACACGUGAAUCCCGAAUUGAAAUUAUGUGAUAUAAAAGAAAAUGGAUUAUGAACAUUAACUGUACAACAAAACCCUCAACAUUUCAUGGCAGCAAGAUUGAUAGGAUAGAGAUUAAAAAAAUUAUAGAUUAUACAUACCUGAAUUACAUGGUUCCUAAAAUCCACCUUUUCUCUCUCCUUUCUAGUUCUGUACUCGACAUAUAGUAAACUGAUGAGGUAAGCAGUCCAGCUUCCCAUCAAUCCAUAAAAAAGCUGAAAUAGUAUUCCAGAUAACAAACCCAGUUGGGAAAAUGAGUAUGGCAGUGUGAGAAGCACUUGAGCAACCUGCAAUAUAUAUUAAAUAUUAAUUCCAUUAAAACCAAAUGAAGAUAAUUGAAGAUAAUUGAAGAUAAUUAGCUACAUACAUCAAAUUACAUAGUUACAUUAAUACAAUGAUAUAUAUAUAAGUAUUUUUGUAAUUAAGAUUAGAUUUGUGCGUGCCUGGUUAGAAGCGCAGCUAAACCAUGCAUCAUAUGCUGAGCCACCAUGCCAAAGAAAUGUUGAUAGCUUGCUCUUAGCACUUGUCUGGGCAUCACUCUGUUCCCUUUCCAUUUCGACGUAGUUUCCGGCUAUAACAGUCUCAACCUUCUCGGAAGCCAUUGUUAUAGUUUUGGUGGUGUUGGUGUGGGAGGAAGAAGCAAUGGAUGAGUGGAUGAGUAGUCUAUAAAUAAAUAGAGGGAGUGCUUCUUUUCACUCUUUCCACUCUCCUUAAGCUUUAGCUUAUAACACCCUUUGCUUUUUGUAGAUGUAAAUUUGUGUUCAAUAAUUGAGUCACCCAAGUGGAGAAAGCUAGAUCAUCACCCUUAGCCCUAGAGGACUGUGAUUGCAUAUAUGUAUAUACAUGUUAGUACAUAAAAAUAGUUGUUAAAGCUCUUUAACUAUUGCAGUUUAAUCAGCGUUAUUAAUACUCUCAAUUUGUUACUUGAACACUUUCAAUAAAAUAUGUUCUAAGUUUUUAUAUACGUAACGUAAAAAUUUUCACCCAAUAAUCAAGUAUCACAAAUUACUAUGAUACUUUUAAAUCUUCAUAUGUAGAACCUGGUAAUAUUUACUUAUAAAUAAGACACUUUGGAUGCGGUCCAUAGCUAUCAAUAUUCUUUGAUUAAAACUUUGUUAGUUUUUAGUUUUUUUAUUGAGGGCCCUGACAUUAAUAUAAUAAUGUAAGUUACUAUAUUUUUUUAAUUAAAAAUUAAAAAAUUGAAAUUUGUUAUUGUUUAUAUUAAUGAGAUUUUAAAUAAAACCCAUAAUUUAUGGGAUUAAAAAUAAUAAAAUAUAAAUUAUACUCUCUAUUAUAUUGUGUGUGUGUAUGUAUAUACAUAUAUGUAUGGGUACAUUAACCAAAAUUAACAAAAAAAAUUAUUGUACCAAAACAUGGAUACAUUCUCAAAUCAACGAAAAAGAAUGUACCCAUAUAAAUUUAAACAUGGAUAAAAAAUUUUGAAUGGAUUUUAUAUUAAAAAAGGGUACAUUUUACAUAUAACAAAUUGAUAUAUUUGAGAAUGGGUACAUUUAAGAUUAAAAAAAUUGAAAAAUUAUAUGAAUGGGUACAUUUAAGAUUAAAAAAUUGAGAAUCUUUUUAUAUAUAAAAAAAAACUAAUAGGUACAAACUUAAUUUAAUUUAUUUUUUAUUAUUUUGGAAAUGUUUGAAUUGAAAAUUAAUUAGAAGUUUAAUAGAGGUAUGAGUAUUAAACCCUAAAUUAAUUACUAAUUUUUAUAUUAAAAUAUUAUAUAAUAAACAUGUAAAUUCAUUAUCAUAUUAAUGCUAGGGACGGGAAUCAAAAUUUGAGAACUAAUAAAGUCUUAGUCAAUGAACAGUAAAAACUAGGGACCGGAUACUAAUUUUUCCCUUAUAAAUUGCUAUUAACAGGUAAGUUUCUAAGUGGACAAUGCUAUUCACACACCUAUUUUUACCUUUCACAUAUCCUUGUUAAUUUUGGCUAUUGAUCUUAUUUAAUUCAUUGGAUCCGACAGUUAGAAAUUGAGAAGUUGUGGGUGAAGUAAAAAUAGGUGUGUUGAUAGCACACCCUUUCUAAGCACAACAAAACAUUCUACCUCAAGUAACUAAUAAGUAGACAUGACAUUCGUGCGUGUUUCUCGUGUUCGUGUCAUUUUCGUGACAUACCUGAUAUCUUAAUAGGCCGUGUAGUGUAACACUCAUUAAAAUGAAUGGGCAAUAUGAUUCGACCCGUUAGCCGUUAAGAAAAAUUAUUUUAAAUUAAUAAAUAAUCAAAUGAAAAAUGUAAUACUAACAACGUAAGUGAGAUCAAAGAAUCCAAUGGUAGGUGAUUAAAUCCUAUGACUAUUAUUGUAGCAAGGUUUUUUAAUUGUUUUUAAUUAAUGUAGAAGUGUAAAAGAUAUUAAAAAAAAGAAAAAUAUACAAAUGCUCGUAAUGACAAGCUCUACAACUAUUGUAAAGAGAUCGACUCUGAAAUCAAGGGUUUAUGUAUUAUGGAUUGUGGUCGAAUUUCGGAGUUUGUCUCUUCACGAAAGUUGUAAAGCUUGUCAUUACAAGAGUUGUAUAUAUAUAUAUAUAUAUUUUUUUUUUUUACAUUUUUCACCCUUUUGCAUUCAAACAAUAAACACUAUUCAUGAGGAUUUGGAGGGUUUUAAAAUCUAAACAACGAUGUAACCAUCUCUAAGCAUAGAAAAUGCAAUCACAAGCGUUUGUAUAUUCUUUUCACAUUUUUCACAGUCUUACAUUAAUUAUUAUAAAUUUUUAUUUAUUUUGAACUCCCCUAAAUAUAUUGUUCACGAGGGAUUGAGGUUUUAAAAAUUUAAACAACAAUGUACCUAUCGUCAAAGCAUAAACGAUGUGAUCACAACGUUUGCAUAUUUUUUUCACAUUUUUCACACUUGUAAUGUCACAACCCGUCCCGAAUAAUUAAUUUUUGAUGACAUGAAAUGACAAUUGUGCCCUUGGAUGUUAAAGUGUAUUGUGUGAUUAAAGUUAGAUUUUGGAACCAUUUCCAUUAUUUUCCUAAGUCUUUGGACCUAAUUAAAAGUAAGGAAAUUGUUGUUUUGAUUGGUGACCCAAACUGUUUGGACCACACAUCCUUUCUCUCUCUCACUCUCCCGUGCUCUCUCUUCUCUCUUUUCUCUCUCAGUUUCACUCUCUCUCUCUCCUUGCUAUACAUACGGACAACCUUGAACCAAGCCAAAUCUUCACAGAUCGAAGGUUUUGAGCACACCAUUGUGUUCCUUAGUCCAUUUCGAGUUCAAAGGUACCCAUUUCAAGUAAGAACUCGUUCGAUAUCAUGUUGAAAACUCAAGCUCCGAGUUGAGCACUAUUCAUGAACUUUUGAAUGGUUAUGUUUUAGGACAAUCUAAGCUCACAGUGAGCUCUAUGAGGUCCCAAGGAAGCUCAGAGUGCUUCGUUUGAAGGUUUUGGACGUCGGGAUCGUGUGGACGAAGUUUGGCCGGGUUUUCUUGGAAUUCUCCAGUGAGAUCCCGUGACUUUUAGAGCUUUAAAUUAGUAUGAUUAUGUUUUACAAGUUAAGAGCUUCAUUUUGGUGUAAAUUGUGUGAAAAAUGAUGCAAAACAAGCGAGAAAUAGGCAAUUGUAGGUCUGCCCAGAAUCCGGUGCCGGUGACACUAUUCCGACAUCUGAAAGUUGAAGAUGAUACGUGUGAAGGCGCGUGAGGCCGUGCCCUCCCCGACGCGUGAGGGCGUGUGAGCCACAGGAAAAUUAUUCUAAAAAUAUCACGAUGUUCGUAAGGUUGUGUAGGUCACGUUGGUAUAUUCAAAUACCAAAAUUGAGCAAUGUAUGAGAAGUUAUUAGCUAGUUUUGUCUAUGUGCUUUAAAAUAACGUUUUUAUAGUUAAUUCGCAUAUAGGUGAGACUUAUCCCGAGGACGAGCGUAUCCAGGAGCGACUCGGAGGCUACGACCCUUCGACAUACUAGUAAGUGGGUUUUUGUUUUCAGUAUAUAUUUAUAUACUUGAUAUAUUUCCCUGAAAUGCAUUUUAAGGAAAGUAUGCUUUGAAAUAAUAUGCCAAAUGCUUUUAUAUUAUGAAUAUGCAUUUCAUGGUUGUAUAUAUAUAUAUAAAUGUGGUGCUGUGGAGGCACAGGUAAGUUCAGGUAAGUUAUGUUUGAGUAUGUGAAUCAUCGACGAUGUGAUAUGCGAUUGAAUAAUGUUGAGCUCAUAAAACUGCACCUAGGGUGAUUGAAAUUUAGACAGAGAUAUGAAGCACAUGCCUGUUUAUUUACAUCACCUCCCGCACUAUAUGCUCAUAUUGGAUCCAACUUAAGUGCACAGUCUUGUCGUACAUACCUUAAUUAUGGUUCCAACUUGUAGGUGACUAGCGAUUUAUCGCCCGGCUAUUAUGAGAGAAUAGAAUUGAGCAUAAUUAUAUUUCACCCAAUCUUGUCGUAUAGACCCUUUUUAGUGGUUCCGACAUAUGUGCAGUAUAUUGUCGUAUUGGUCAUUGUAGUGACUCCGGCUAAAUUGACUUUUGAGCUAUGAAUUCAGCCGUACAGACUACCACAAGGGUUUCGGCUAACAUAUCAUAUAUAUAUGAAAUCAUUCUUAUCUGGAUUGUUUACUUUGUUCUAUUUUGGCAUGGCAUACAUUUGAAUAUGAUUAUGUGAAGCAUGAAUUGAAUUGAUAUGAUUACAUGUAUAUAUAAAUUAUGUACAUACUUACAUCUGGAUUCUAGGAAAAUUUUACAUGUUUUACAGCGAGGGGUUAAUACGUUGAUAAAAGAAAAUGAUUUUGUAUAACAUUUGUUUUUGCCCACUCACGUUUUCUGUUUUGCGCCCCUCUAGGUUUUAAGUAAGCUUGCUGUUGGUGGCUCGAGGACGUCGGCUGUUUUGACUUAUCUGAAUAAUAGUAGGAUAUUCCUGGUACUGUAUAACUAGUACUUGUCCUACUGGACUGCAUCUAUACUUAUUAGCUUUGAUUAGGAGUGUCUACUAUUGUAACUAACUCCUAUCACUUUCUGUUUAGUAGUGCACUCUAGUAAAUUGGUUUUUGAUUAUUCGUAUAAAUCUUAUUUUAUUGCUUCUGCACUGUGCACAUAGCUACGUCACUCUCACGUGACGGCCAACAUGCCUUGAUCUCGGUCGGGGUGUGUCAUGUAAAGUAAUUAUUAUGACUUUUUUAAUGUACUUUGGUAUUUAUAAAUUGCUUCAGUAUUUUGUAUGUGAUGUACAAGUUUUUAAUCUCACUUAUGUGAGAUUAAAUACUAUAGAUAACUAUUGUAGUAAGGUCUUUUAGUAGUUUAAAAUUAUCAAAUUAACUUUUUUCUUAUCGGGUUGAAACAAGUUGCUCGCGGAUAAAUUUGUCAAGAACCCGUUAAUAAAGGGUUAUUAAUGUAUGACCUGAUAACGAUACGAUUAGUUAACAUGUUGAUCUGAAAUACAUUAUUUUCGGGACGUUUCGAAUCAGAUUAACAGGUCAUGUAACAAAUUGUCUGGUCUACUAAUAAGCAUAGGUAAUUACUCAUGCACCACUCACACAAUUUCCUUUAUAAGAUAUUUUUAUUUCAUUGUGUUGGAGAAGAUCCAUUGGUUGGUGAUAUAGAUACGUACCCACCACGUAACAUACGUAUUCUACUUUUCUACCAAAUUUCACUUUAAACUUGUUAUCUGGACAUGAAAAAGCUGUUGAUGGGCCAUUCCUAGCAUGCAUUUGCACGAGCGGCGGUGGCCCAGGUUUGGAAGAUGUAUAGAUUGGUGGUUACAGCAUACUGAUAGAUGGAUGAUGCUGAUAAUUAUAGCGAAAAAGUGAGAUAAAACAUGAUAAAAUCUCUCUCAUCUAUUAAUAUUUUUAAUGAGAUCAACUUAUAUAUAGAACGAGUUCAUUGGUAUUGUAUUAUUCUGACCUAAUUGUGCAUUAUCAAGUGAGGAAAAAUUUAAACAUAAUAAUGCAUUAUCAUUAAAUUGAAACGUCACGUCACGCUAAAUCCAUUUCAAGCGAGUCUUUUUAUUUCUUAAUAUUGGGGAGUGGAAGACGGAAGAAAUGAAAGUUUUGAAGGAGCAGUUUGUCUGUGAUUUGAGUGUGAGUUUGUGUUACGUGGGGGAGCCUAAGAAAUGUAGUGAAUGAUUGCUUUGAGGUAAGCUUGGUGCUAAACAUGAUUAGCACCACACGUGUGCCAACUGGCUUUACAAAAAGAGAUCUAAAAACACCUUUUCUCCUUUUUUACAAAAAGAUUAGGUCGUUAAAGGGUUCUUUGGGCCAUUGAUUCGGCUUCUAAAUCAUGAGAUUAAUUGGUAAAGUGUCUUCUAAAUUCACUGUUUUAGCGGUGGUAAUUUUUGAAAAGAAAUAGGAUUAUCUCUCUCUUUAUUCCCUUCUUAUUUGAAUAAUCAAGAUUAAGAUACGUUAAUAUUUUAUGUUAACUUUUUUUAUAAAGAGAUAAAAAAAAAAGGGAGCAUUUUUGCUCACCACCAUUUAGUGUGGUGUAUGCUUAUCACCCUAUUUAUCACUGUUAGAUGAGUUUGAAUUUUCAAGAUUCGUGUAGUGGAUAAGCACAAAUCUCAAAAUUUAAACUCAUCUAACGGUGAUAAAUAGGGUGGUGAGCAUACACCACACUAAAUGGUGGUGAGCAAAAAUGCACUCAAAAAAAAAAGAGGAAAGUGAGAAAGGGGAUGAGAGGAGGGAAGGGAAUAAGAUUAGGAGCGGAGGGGAGGAAAGAGGAUUAAGAGGAAACAGAAUCCUACUCCUUUUGAAAAAUGUUAUUUGGGGUUCUUUUCCACGUCCAGCGCACUAUGUUGGACUUUACUAGGUAUGUGAAACAUAUCAUACAACAAUAAAUCUUAUUAAUCAUUUAAUGAUUUUCGUACUCCAUUUUUUCAUCCUGUACUCUGUUACUUAUUUAUCUCGGAUGAGGAUCCUCUUCAGAUCCUCUUUAUGAGGAUAUUAGAGAUCCUCAUAUUCUAACCGUUCAUCGUAUACCAUACGGUCAUUUUUCAUUAAGUACUAUUUGUGUUUAAUUUUAAAUAAUAAAAUUCAAAUGAUUUCUAAUAGCACGAUGUACAAUGAAUGACUAAGAUGUGAGGAUCCGUAGGAUUCUCACAAUUUGGAUUCAGAUGAGAUCCAAAUCCGUUUCUGUCAAUCAACACAGUUGGUUGAUUUAGUUUUGUGGCUAGGAACAAGAUCAGGAAUGAAGUUGAUAGAAAGAGAGUGGGAAAAUCACUUCCCAUGUUCUAUGUUUUAGAAUAUCAUACAUUUUAUAUCCUUCUUCUUUAAAUUUUGUUGUCAUAUUCUCCGUUAAGCUUGCAAAUGUCUUUGAGGGUUUAGCUUGUACUCAAAUAUGAGAAUAUUUUUUGAAGAUGACACUUUAUCUGGCGAAAACCAAUGAUGCCUAUGCCGUAUGGUACGGGGACGAUUUCCACUUAUUCUACCCUAACAGCUUAAAAUUUUAAACACUAAUAUUAUCGUUUGUUAAAAAAAAAUAAAAAAUGGGAUUUUGGUGCAUCAUAUUGUGAUUAGGGAUGGCCAACGGUUAUGGCAGGCGGGUAACCGCGGUUAUUUACUCAUAACCGUUUAUGCUCAUACCAGCAUAACCGUUUACCCGUUGAGUAAAUGCCUAAACGGUUAUACUUAUACCCAUAACCGUUUAUAAACGGUUAACCAUACCCAUAACCGCAUACCCAUUUAACCGUAACCGUUUAAUCCUCGUUUAACCAUUUACCAUUUUUAACCCGUUUAUCUUUUUUUUUUUUUUACCAUUAUCCCUUUUUUACCCGUCUACAUGUUUUUUAACAACUUGAAAAUUAAAAAAAAUAUUGUCAUAAUUUUUUUUGGCAAUUAAACAUCGUUAUAGGUACAUUCAUCAUACAUUUCCGUAUUUUAAUUUUUUAAGUCCUUAUACCAUUCCAAUAAUUGAAAUAAUAGUUUACGGUCGAUAUUUUUAAUUGUUACCAAUGAAGGUAAAUAUAAUAUUUGCUAAGUAUUAUUGGGUUACAAAAAUUGUUUAGAAGACAUUUCUGUCAAAGCAUUUAUGUCAAUUUCACGGUUACCCGCAAGGAAUUUAAAUUAAUUUGGCGAAUUCCUUGAUGAUGAGAAUCAUCAUUCCUGUAGCAGUGUUGUUGAGAGAAUGACCGAUGAAUUCAUUGCUAGUUUAUUGGGUGCUAAGUAUUAUUGGAUCAAGAACAUGGUUUGUGUUAGUUUUACAUAUAUAAAAUAAAUGGAUAAAUGGUUACCCGUUUAUAACCGAAGUUAAUACCCAUAACCGUCCAUUUAACUUGCUCGGGUAAACGGUUAUACUCAUAACCGUUUAUUUAUCUAAACGGUUACCCAUAACCGUAACCGUUUAAUUUAAAUGGGCGGGUAACCGCGGUUACCCAUAACCAAUGGGUAUUUGCCCAUCCCUAAUUGUGAUUAGCCUUGACAGACUCAUAUUAAGUUGUUGUCGAGGGUUUCUUUGUAUUUCUUAAUGACCUUGUAAAAAACAUGGAAAUUUUAAUAUUAGGGUCUAUUUGAUAAUUAUUUUGUUUUCUACUUUUGCUUUUCAUUGUUUGAGCUUGAGAUGAAGAAAGUGUAAUGAAGGGUAAUGGGAUGAAAGGGAAGAAAUGAAAAAAACUAAACGAAAAUAAAAUUUUAAAAGUAAAACCAAUUCUUUUAUACAUUUCUUCUAUAUCUUUGUGUCACCAUUUUUACUUUACUCUUUUAUAUCUGAUUUCUCUUAUGUACUAGCGUAUGGCACACACAAAGCAUGUGAGAAAAUUUUUUAUUUUUGUUUUUGAAAUAGAAUGAGAGAGGGAGAGAGGAAAAAAGUGAUAGAGAAUGUGGGAGUGAGAAAGUUUUUUUUUUUUUUAAUUAAAGAUAUGUUAGGAUUAUAUAUAGGUGAGACUUUGAAAAAAAAAAAGCAAAAUUUGGUUGUGUAAAAUUACAUUUAUGCUCCAUAUUUCUUAUUCAUGUUUUGUUUUAAUUAAAAUGUUAAACUGGUAAUUUCAUAAAAUUUUGAUUAACAAUAAAUAUUUUAUUAAUUAAUAGAGAUAUAUGUUUUUUUAAUUGGCUAUUUAUAUAUAAAUGAAUAACUACAAAUUAUAAGUCAGAGGACCGGUUGACUACCAGUAUCACAUGGAGAAAUUAUUGAGUGGUAUGUCAGUAUCACGUCAGCUGGUGAUACUUUUCACGUAACAUUUUCCUGAACCAUUAUACCAUCAUGCUGACUCUCGUUGCCUCGGUGAUUCAAUGUAAAACCAUCCUCUAAUUAAACCUUACUAUACUUUGGCUUUCAACCACUGCAUUUUCAUCCGUUGGAAGCCAGGAGCAACUCUUUUAAUCCAACUCGUUCUUUUAUAAUAGGGAAGUUUAACAAAAAGCAUCCGGUACUGUUCAUUUUAACGAAAAACCACAUUUUUACACUAAAAAGUCAAUCAUGGUACUAUUCACUUUACCCUUUAUUUUGUCCUUAUCAUUAAAACUCAAAGUUUUCAAAUCUUUUUCAUUAGUUUUCCUUUUAUAAUAUGGGGUUUGAUAUCUACACAUCUAUUUUUACUUCUCACACACUCUUUUAAUUUUCAGCUGUCGGAUCAGAUGAAUUGAAGAAGAUCAACGGACAUAAAUUAACAAAGAGUAUGUGAGAAGUAAAAAGGAGUGUGUGGAUAACACACCCCUUAUAACAUUGAUGCAACAAAAUUCUUGAUAAACCCCAUUGCUUAAGAUUUCCAUCACCAUUUAACUCAAUUCUCAAGAGGAAAAUUCCAUUACACGUCCCGAAAUGUUCCAAGCAUUAACAAGCACCGUUGAUGCCCAAAAUCAGAGGGGUCUUGGAACAACAUAAAUCUGACCGUGAAUCUGCAAGAAAGUAAAGAACACAAGAUGUAUCGUGGUUCACCCCAAGGUUUGGGCUACGUCCACACUGAUUAUUGUAUUUCUCUGAGAUGUUGAAGAGGGAGAGAGAGACCUUCUAUGUGAGGAUGAGAGCUCUGAGAGGGUGAGGGUAUGGCCUAAAAAUUGGUCUCUCCUAAUGAGAAGAGUGAUGGGUCCUUUUAUAGAAUAAGGGCUUCUCACUUAUUACAUAUUUGUCAAUUCCUUUAUUACAUAAUUACAUUUGAGUUCUCCGAGUAUUUAUAUGAGAUCUAAAUACGGAUGCCCUAAGUAUGGUACAAACAAGCACAUAAAAACUCUUCUUUCUAACUGUUGAAAUAUUAGUUUCCAGCGUUAGCUCUGGUGUGACUUCUUGAACAUAACUAAUAUUUCAUCAUGUAUCCAACAAAAAGUCAUAACCUCACGAGUCAAACCAACACAAAAUUACAAUAGGCCAAGCAAAACACUUAUUUUGCAAGUCAUGCAAACCAUUCGAGCAAGCCAAAACCAAGCAAAUAAAUUGGGAAAUCUCAAGAAAAAGUAUAAAGCAUGCUAAUAAACUUUUAAGUUAUCCUAUGCAACAUGCCAAGCAAGCUGCUCAAUGGUUUGAACAUAAUCUAUGCAUCAUGCCAAACCAAAGACAAAACUACAAAGUGUCACACAAGCUCCUCAAUUCAAGUGAUGCACAUGCAACAUGCCAACCUAAGAAAUUAAGAAUGAGAUAUGAUAAAUUACAACUUGCCAUGAAAAACCUUUCAAGCCAAACAAGUCAACCCAACCAAGACGACCGUUCCUAGUUCAUGCCAUUUAUCCAAGUCAAUUGCCAUAAAAACUUCCCCAUUUACCAUGACAACUCCUAUAAGAGUCAUUGAGCAACCUGUGGAAAAGCUUCCCCAAUUGCCUAAACUUGAGUUGUUGCAAAAUCCACCGCUGUCAUCACAUUUUUACAAGCUAUGUAACUCCAUGCUUCUAUUUCCAAGAAGAUAUCACCUUUAGCAGAAACCACAUUCAAAAUUCGUGGCCUUUCUAAUCACACUUUUUCUCCCACUUAACAUAUGUUUUAAUCCAUAUUCCAUUUUUCAUGUUUAAGCCCUGCUCCAUUGCCCGAGUUUAGUCUCUGUAACUCAACCUUCGCCUAUUGAAAAAUCUAAAAUGCACCAACUCUCAUCUGAACUUGCUAAUAAUACAUGCCAUGCAAACCAUUUGAGCCAAGCAAAUAAAGGCAAAUUUAUGCCGAGUAAAUAAAAGCUUCCCAACCAAUCAAGCUAAUCUAAGUCAAGCACAUCAAAGAAAAACCAAGCCAACCAAAGUGCAACCGGCAAAUUCCAAGGGGAAAAGGAAAAAAAUCCAUGUUCACAACAAAGCCCAAGUUGGCAUUCAAUGCUGGAGAGUGCGAAACUCGCUGCCGGAAAGUUAAAAGUCAAAAGUCAUUCAUGCUGGCCACUAUCUUAGCUAGACCUCAACCGUGUGACCUAUCUCUGCCCCAAGAGAUAAAAAAAUCAUUAAACCUUAUCUUCCACUGAUUUCAUUUCAAUACCAUGUGUUUACAGAAUCAAUCGCAUGCCUAUCUUUAAAGCAUGCUUAUAAUAUAAAUUACGAUCAAGUUUAUAUAUGCCAUGCCAUCAAUUUAUAUAAGUUAUGAUUUGGAGUGUAUUAAUUUCUUUUGUCAAGAAGGUGCAUAAGCAUGCAUAAAUUGGUUCUCCAGGCAUACUUAUCAUGCCUAAAAUCAUUAAAUAGUUAAGAAUUGCAUUGCUUGCUCUAUAGAUGAUUGCACAUAUUUUUAUUUCAUAGUUUCACUCAAUGCUUACCAUGCCCACUUAGUACGUAACGGCUCACUACAUGAGUUAACUUACAUGCUAGAAGUUUGCUCAUGUGACCAACAUAUUUGUUAAUGCUCAAAUAUAUCUUGUUAGGUCAUGUAUGGAGCUAAAACUUUCAUGAACAGCUCGAGUACUAAGCCUAAACUAUAUAUUCUCCACUACAAGCAUACAUAUUUAUUGCCAGAAAGAAGAAAACAAGCAAGCUUAUCAAUGCAAUAUGUGCAGAACCUCACACCCAGCAAGGCUAGAUAAGUUAAAUCAAACUUGUAGUGCCAAUAGCAAUCAUGCUAAUCACUCGAAGUAGGAGUGCAUACCAAUCUGUUAACCAUGCACUGAAAUGCUUUCAAAAGGCAGAAAAAAUGGUAUUUCCUGCACCAAAUGGUUCAAACAGGAGAUUUGAGUACUUUAAGCCAUGCAAGUAUGCUAAUUCAAGAAUUCCUAACUAUAUGUAUUUCAACAUAUCGAGCAAGUCCCAAGCAUUGUCAGCCUCAAGCAAUUCAAGAAAUUCAAGCAUUACAAUGGACUCAGGAAACCUUAGGCAAAAUCAACAGUGCCUACACCCUAUACCUUUUUAGGUUUGAGUUGGUUGCCAAACAUCAUGUCGAUUGUUUACUAUAACUAUUACUUCCCAGCCUAGAUUUAGUUGUUUCCCUAUCCAACUGUUUCCACUAUAGUCUUACAUGCUAAGCAGCGUCAUGCCUUCAUAUCUAAAAACCACAAUUUCCAUGAGCAACCUUUGCGAACACCCUUUUCACCAACAACUUUAUACGAACACCCUUUCUACCAACAACUUUAUGCGAACACCAUUUCCACCAACAACCAUGAGAAGCUCAUUCUCUUCAUCAUGCUCGGAGCCAUCCUCGUCGUCCCCUACAUCUAGGUCGUAGUCAGGAUAGGCUAAAUUCACCUUUUCGUAGAACUCCACGUAGCCUUGGAAGUAGAGUUUGUUGGCGAGCUCCUGACCAUUCGGAGUUUAAAAGUAGUUGUCCAUGUCUUAACCACCAACUUAGGAGGAUUCAUCCAAGUCCUUUUGCAGGCAUUCAUUCUUCUUCAUCAAAGCCUGAGCGACAUCCUUAGCCUCGCCCAACUCCAUGGUAGUCUUGAGCUUACUCGUGGAAGAUUCGCUCAACUGCUUUCUCAUGCACUUAGUCUUCAGCUGCAGUUGAGCGACCACUUUCUUAGCCACCUCAACAACCUUCUUAGUAGAUCUGAGCUUCAACUGCUUCACAUUCACGGCGUCUUGCAACCUCUUCAUGUCUCACUCGUAAUUGACGCUCUAUUUUCUCUUCUUGAAGAGGUGUCUAAGCCCUCAAAAUUAGGUGAAGAGAGCCUGCAAAGGAAAAAACAAUGAAGAUUAGCUAAAGGAAAAAUUGUAUAGAUCAUUACAUGUAUGAGGGAAACAUGGAACAUGAUGAAAGUUUACCCCAGCCUGAAGAUCGAAGGUAAGGGCCACCUGCUCAUGGGUGUCCCUUUCAAACCUCGCAUGGCAUCCACGAUGCUCUCCCCAUGAAAGACUCUCUUACGGAUGUUUAAGUAUGAGUAAAUCUCUUGGCAAAAUGUGUCCUUAAAGCGUGCGGCAAUCACGUAGGUCGGAUCUUACUUAUAAUCGCUGAGGUGAGGAAGAGCCAAUCGUCGGCCUCUUGCAGUAGGGGUGUCCGAGCCACCAGUAAUCAGGCACUUGCACAAGGAUUUGUCCAUGUCCGCACUCAGAUGAGUAAUUUAUACCACCCUUGGAAGUGGGUCGGGACUGCCAAGCUAAGUGAUUGGCCCGUUCUUACCAACACCUCAACCGGCUAUCUAAUUUCAAGCUCCACUGGGAGCGUUCUUUUUGCCCAUAGCUCGACGGGCGAUCUUUUCAACCUUAACAUCCAUCUCAACCAUUUCUCCAUCUGUAAAGUGAAAAGAAGUGUUGAAAAAAUGAGCAACAAAUAAUAUAAAUCCACCAAGAUCAUAUAUGAAGGUAUUAAGGCUUAGUUAGCUUACCUCUUAAAAGACCGAUCACUCUUAAACGAGAUUCGGUACAUAUAGCGGCAAUGGAAAGCUCUUUAGAAGGCAAGGAAGUGAUGACUGCCAACUGAAAUUCUUCUUCUUCAGAAAGAGAAACUUGGCCAGACUAAUCAACUGUGAAAAAAAAAGAUAUUUUCAUUAAAUUAGAAGACUCAUACAGACCAUGAGAUAUGGAAAGUGUUAGUUUUGUCAACCCUUGUCCCUAAAGCAUCUAGCCACUCGAGUGCCAAUCGCCUUGACCUCAGUCGAGCUCACCCAGUUACCGCUUACAAGGAAUCAGUUUUCCUUAUAGGGCCUUUCGUUUGAAGGGUUGUCGGCAAAAAUAAGCAAGAGCUAAGCAUAUGAUAGAACCCAACAUGGCCAAGACUGUUCCUCAGUUUAUAACAAUGUUUGAUGAGGGUAAGGUUGGGCUUUAUUUGAAAAUAUUGCCUCAAGAGCACGUACAUGUUAAGAAAGAAACAAAAGGCAUUGAGAUUGAUUUGGUAAGGACUAAAUUGGUGUGGACUAUAACAUAGUGAAGGAAGGAGUGUAAAGGUAGCUGAAUGCUAGACUUGAAGAGUUCAGCAGAAAAGGCUACCCAACUGUGUGACGGCUAGCUAAGUUAUUCUUCUACAACCGGUGCUCGGAUGACAACAUCGUUGGGAAUGCUAUAUCGGUUCUUCAACUCUUCCAACUAGGUUAUGAUGCUGGGAAUGUGGUCGACACUAUGGUCCCAAGCAUUAUAAUAAUUAAAAUACAGUUUUUACAAAAAGACUCUUUUAUUCCUAUGCCAACUCCUCUAUGAGGAAGAUAAGUUUGGCCAGGGCUGCUAAUUUUUUUUAGCGGUUUCCCCAGAGAUAUUUAUCAUUAAUGCAAUGGGUCAACAUCUUGUUAAGAUUUAAUCCCCCACUUGACCGAUUUCUUAUAACCCGAGGAAGAUCUAAUAAUGGUCGAAUGGGACACCGACUUAGUACAUGUACGAAAGGCUUCUACAUAUUCUUUCUAAGCCCACAAGAGGAUCUUCCUUAUCAACUAAGUCUAGCAAUUCUUUAUCCCCUAUCUCUCUAAAAGCCAUUGGGUUUGCGUCACACUUUAGGUCAUCUUCAUGGUAGCUAGAAGAUGAUUCUUCUCCAGGAACAGAUAGCUGAAAAAGGGAAUUUGGUAAGUCCACAAGUAAAGGUCGGGUUCUUGGUUGGCAGAAAUAAUUGGUAACUGAUUCGACUAGAGGUUCGUAGAAGGUAUCAAUAAAAUCAAUAAUCGGUAGAACUGGAUGUGCCACUACGACUGAUUGUUUGUAGCUGUAGGUCUCUAGGCUAUCACUUUUCGGCCCUGAAGCGGUCGACUUUGCGCGUGUGUUCAUUAUCAACUAGUAGCGCCAAGAUCUCAAAAAAAUAAAGGUGAAUCACUACAAAUUAAGGUGCACGCGCUUGGGUGAGUCAGCGCUCGUUCAAGUGAGAUAUCCCUGGCUACUUAAUCUACUUAUGUCAGGGAAGUCUACUCUAUCCUUUUCACUAAGGGUACCAGAGUUAGUCUCGUCGACGUGUGCGUGUGAUGGCAAUAAUUGGGAAUUUUAAUUCCGCUACGAAAAUAAGCAAUUACAGGAACAUGUUUUCAAUGAUUCACAAAAUACAACAAACAUAGAAAGAGGAAAUUUACUUGAAGAAGCGAUGAUGAGGGGGUAAAGUCUUAAGGAAGCAGUUUUCCAGCCACCGAAUGAAUCGCUAAGGAAAACUAACAAAGUCUCAGUAGAGAAUGUGAAGUAAAGGGAAUAAGUUAUGACUGGGGAGGUUAUAUAGACCCAAGCGUGCGAUCUCAGCCAUUAAUGAUGGAGCACUUGGUUGAAGAGAUCGUGACACGUGACAGACCAUUUACUUCGUUAUGAGAACUGAAGAGUCGUGAAGAGACAUCAUGGUGCACAAGGCCACGCCUAUUUGUUAUGUCUUUAAUAAACAGACGCCUCGAUUACUCCCCUAGUCUGUCAUUGACACUUGCAUCGAGCACCCAAAUGUCUUUUGAUUAUUGAUCUAGAUAAGGCACAUAAGGGACAUAGUCGAGCGACUAAUAGAACAAUAGGUCAAGAACACUCGAGACACUUUUUCUAAUAGAGCACAUUUGGGGUACAUGACAACCGUUGCAACUCCAUGCCCAAGAAGAAAUCAUUGACCAAGAAGUUGGGGGACUUGUUAACGCUAAGCACUUCACUGCCCACAAAAUGGUGCAGGUCAGGAAAGAAGCUACGAAAAGCCCAAAGUAAAGUCAAAGCUCAAGGAUGAUCAAGAACCCCAAGGUCCAAGGGUUUAGAGGAAGAUGUUCUCAAGCACUAAAGCCAACCGCUUACAAGCUCAGCCGACUAGGUUGUAUAAAGUACUUUCUGACUACCAGAGACACGUAGACAACCUGACAAUUUUCUAGCACAAGGUUUUACGAGCAAGUUUACUUAGAUGUCAAUUAGUCCACGUGGCGACUCACGAACAAAAGUAAAGGCUUGGGAUGAGAUAUAAAGGUGGUCGGGUUUCUACUCGGAGAGGCAGGGAUGGAUAACCAAGGCCGAGCGAGUCGCUCAAUGUGCAUCACUCUAAAAAGGCGUGCUAACUAGACUAAGAACUUGUCACUUCACCAUCAAAUACCCAAUCGAUAUGUGAAAAGGUGUCAGUAUGCUUGUCUACAUAAAUGGUUCAUUAAAUGUCAUAUUAGGGGAACCCAAGCAUUCUGAGUCAUUGAGGGAGGGCCUAUAUAAAGGGAUAGGAUCCUCUUGUAAUGGAGUCAGACAAUUGAGAAAAUAGAGGGUUCAUGUAAUUAGUUGAGCUCUUGUAGUCUUGAAAUAAUACAAUCCAAGCAACACAGUUGAUGUAGCUUAGUUUUAAAGGGUGAACCACUUAAAUAUUUGAGUUCAUUUCAUUUUAGUUAUUAUCCCAAGCCACUAAGAAUUUAUUAUUUUAAUUUGUCAACAUGCAGGUUUUAAGCGUUAAUAAUAUGUAGCUACGUUUUGGUAUCAAAAUAUCUUAAUUGGUGCAUGUUUAAAGAGAAUAGCCGAGUAGAGUCGACCCCCACUUCAACCGUUGCAUAUGCAACUUUAAGAAUAAUAGACAUAUAGGGGUGUCUAAGAGUUGGGACCAAGGAGUUUCCAAAAGGAUAAAAGAAGCAAUUAAAUAACCUACUUUUUUUUUUUUUUUUUGGCCCUAAAAUAACAUUUGCUAACUAGGCCAAGAGAUUGUUCCAAGUGAGACCUAGAGAUCUAUGGUAAGCACGAAAAAGAAAGAUCAUGAUAUCACUGGCGAAUCGAGAAUUCUAACAUUAGGUGGUCCCAAUAUAAAAGCUCUAAAAAAUAUGAAAAUAACAUGAAAAUUAAACGAUAAACUACCUAGUUUUCAUUCAUAAUCUUUGUACAAACAACAUUACAAGCUACAAAGGUUGAAUUUUUCCACAACAAGGUUUCAUACUUUGAAAAUGUGUCAUGAUAGGUUCAUUGUCAAUACAAGAAAAAAAUGAACGAUGAUGAUUUGGAACUAUCCAAAUUUGGAGUUGAACUAUCUAGAAUAGGAUUGGAACUAUUAAUGAUGAUUUUUACUUGUAAUAUCGUUCCAUACUUCUAAUUUCUACAUAUAUCAAUUAAUCAAAACAAAAAAUCAUAUCAAUUGAUGAAGCUAAAAAUAGACAUAUGAACUAACUAACACAUGAUCCAAACAAAAUAAAAAAAUCAAAACAGAUUAACAAUAGCUAUAAACUAAUCUGAAUAUAAAUUUUCCAUCUAAUACACAUCAAUUUCAACAUCCUAUAUGAUGAAUUUAGAUUAAAAUAGAAACUCACUUAAAUUCAUAAAUUAGGGGAUUAAAUGGUGGUGGAGAUUGGAGAGAAGUGAACCAGGUGGUGGUGAUCAUGGAGAGGAGACAUGUGGAGGUGUGGGGCAGCUGUUAGUGGCCCGGGUUACCCAAUUGGAGAAAGUGAAUGCAAAAUGGGAUUGGGUGGAGAUCUCGGGUAUGAGGAAAGAGAAUAGACUAUUUAUAUUUUUUAAAUUAAUAAGGAUCUCCCUCACAUGGCUUAACUGAAAACUACGUGUUUUGACUAAGUCCUUAAAAAACAGAAUAGUCUUCUUUCUCUUUCAUCAAUCAUUUGUAGAAACUGCAGCUGCUGGUCCACCGCUACACUCUUCUCCUUCACUACAUAGCCAAGCUUGGAUGGUCCUCAGAGGUCCUCAUAGCCACUUAUCCGGGCUCCGAAUGAUCUCACAACCACCUGAAUUCCUUAAUGCAUCCGCCACUGCAAAAGAUUGAACAUUAUGCAACGAACUGGGCCAGGAGAUUGUUCCAAUUGGGUUCUAUAGUACACUACCCUCCCAGCCCAUGUAAAAUCACUACUCGCCGAUUCAAGCCGAUAAUUCAACUCCAACUGAGGUAUUGCUUCAUGGGGUUUUCUCAUAUUUUGCUUUUAUUGUUCUUUUUCUUUGCCAAAAUAUGCCUAAUUUUGGACCGCAGUUUUCCCAUAUCAAACAACAGUAGGUACUAGGUCUGUAUAUUAAGUUAUUAAGCGAUUUUUCUAUAUUAAGCGAUUUUUCUAUAGGGAAACUUUUGUCCACUAAUGUACAUUUCGAAUCUAAUUAACUUAUUAAGUUAACAGUUUACUGAACUUGGAAGUUAAAUAUUUUGAAAAAAUGUUAAAUAAAUUAAAAAGUCAUCUUACAAACAAAUUACAACUUAUAUUAAAUGGUUCUACUUUUGAUUAUAUCGAGACUUUUUGCAUAAAAUCACACACCUAGUUAUUAAGCUGUGGUUAAAUGAGAAUAGUAUCAAUGAGAUUAGUAGUAGGCCGCAACCCAUCUAUGAAACUUUAACAAAAAACGGUGCCUUUCGUUUGAAGUAGAGUUUAUAGUUUGGCAGACCCGACCCUAACUAAGUUGACUAAAACAAUAUGUUACUCACUCUACACCCAAGUUCCAAUCAUCCGUCUUCAUACCUCAGAUUAGAUAAAAAUGUCGAUGACCAAAUGAUUAAAAAGGAAAAAGGAGUGGAUAGUUUCUGCAAACAUGGAUUUUUUAGAUGGAUUAAGCUUUGAUGUGGGAAAAAGUAGAAACGGUGGUAGGGAACCUUAAUAAACUUGCAGGAAAGGAGUAGGGAAGGAAUCAGAUUAACUAGCAUUGCCAAAAAGCAUCCCAUGAAUUGCUACUGCUUUGGUUUACUAGUGCUUUCUCCACACGUAUUCUUCUCCACCCUUAUCCUUUAUAUUGCGUAUUGUCAAACUUUCUUAGCGCAAUUCAUUCAAGUAAUUUCAUGUACCUCAUGUUAGAAAGAACGAAAGAUUGAAAGAUAGGCAGAGGAAGUAAGAAAAAUGGCAAAACGCUUCAAUCUGUUAAUUUUACCGCUUUUAUCGGUUAAUAUGGUUCUUUCAGGUAUUAUUUCUAGAUCAUGUCAAUUUUUCUGUUUUAUGUUUCUUUCACAAACUCCGCCUGUGUAAGUUUAUCUUACAUUGCCGGUCCCAAGCCCGGGUAAAGGAGGAGGGGGAGGGCAUCAAGUAGUCGACAGCCGGCACUCCUCAGUUACGUCGAAUCCUUAUGAAAAUGAAUCCAGAACGAAAUCGCGCUAAAGCUAGGGCGUUACCCGUAAGUGACGCACUGUGUGGCCCGAGCACAGUGAUAAGUGAGUAAGGGUCGCUGUAUCUCCAUCGGCACCUGGAUGCAGUGUUAAAUGAGUAAGGGGGCCAUAGAAACUUCUUUUCGAACGACUCCACUCAAAGUUGUUUGGAAGCAUAUGCUCCUAUCAACUUUACACAGGACACACAAAAGAAGUAAUUUGAUCCUAUUGGACGGAGGAGGGUGAAAAAGCUAGGACAGAAGGGUAGAGUUCAAGAGAGUAGAAUGCGUUUAGGAACGUGGAAUAUAGGAACCUUAACGGGAAAAUCUAUGGAAGUAGUGGAAGUUAUGGUGAGGAGAAGGAUAAAUAUUAUGUGCCUACAAGAAACUAAGUGGGUUGGCCUUAAGGCAAAAGAUCUAGAAAACUCAAGGUUUAAACUUUGGUAUUCGGGCACAAAUAGAACGAGAAACGGUGUUGGCAUCAUCGUGGACAAGACCUUGACACAAGAUGUUGUAGAUGUCAAGAGGGUAGGAGAUAGAAUCAUGGCAAUCAAGAUUGUAAUAGGACAAGAACUCAUCAAUGUGAUUAGUGCGUACACACCUCAAGUAGGGUUGGAUACGAGUUCGAAGGAGAAAUUUUGGGAAGACCUUGGAGACUUGGUGCAAGGAAUUGCCCAGACGGAGAAGUUAUUUAUAGGAGGAGAUUUAAAUGGACACGUGGGCAGGGAGACAGGCAACUAUGGAGGUUUUCAUGAUGGCCAUGGUUUUGGGGAGAGAAACGAGGAUGGGGAAGCUAUCUUGGAUUUUGCAAUGGCAUAUGAUCUCUUCUUAGCCAACACCUUCUUUAAGAAAAGAGAAGAACAUGAUCACCUACAAGAGUGGGUCGUCAAAAACACAAAUAGAUUUUCUUCUAAUGAGGAAAGGGGAUCGUAUAACUUGUAAGGAUUGCAAAGUUAUACCGGGAGAGAGCUUAACUAAUCAACAUCGCUUGUUGGUGAUGGAUGUACAUAUCAAAAGAGUGAGAAAAAAGAACAAGACUUGGAAGUGCCCAAGGACUAGAUGGUGGAAUCUAAAAGGAGAAAAACAAGCCAUUUUCAAAGAGAAAGUAAUCACCUAGUGUGUGUGGGAUAGAGAGGGGGAAGCUAGCCAAAGGUGGGAUUUCAUGGCUAGUUGUAUCCGAAAAGUAGCAAAAGAGGUAUUAGGAUAGUCCAAGGGCUUUGCUCCACACCAAAAGGAAUCUUGGUGGUGGAAUGAGGAGGUACAAACAAAGGUGAAGGCUAAAAAGGAAUGUUGUAAAGCCUUAUACAAGGACAUGAUCGAUGAAAAUGGUGAAAGGUAUAGAAGAGCGAAGCAAGAGGCGAAGAAAGCUGUGAGAGAAGCUAAGUUAGCGGCUUAUGACGAUAUGUAUAAGCGACUAGAUACCAAAGAACGAGAGUUGGAUAUCUAUAAACUAGCUAGAGCAAGGGAAAAAAAGACAAGGGACCUAAACCAAGUGAGAUGCAUCAAGGAUGAGGAUGGAAAGGUUCUUGCUACAGAGAACGCGGACAGAUGGAGAGGUUAUUUUCAUAAUCUUUUCAAUGAAGGACAUGAAAUGAGUACUUCUUUAGGGAAGUUGAGUAACUCAGAAGAGUGUAGAAACUACUCUUUUUAUCGUCGAAUUAGGAAGGAAGAAAUGGUUAGAGCUUUGAAGAAGAUGAAGCAUAGAAAAGCAGUGGGCCCAGACGAUAUACCGAUCGAAGUAUGAAAGUCUUGGGAGAGACAGGUAUAGCAUGGCUCACUGACCUUUUCAAUAGGAUUUUGAAAACGAAGAAGAUGCCAAAUGAGUGGCGAAAGAGCACUUUGGUGCCUAUCCAUAAGAAUAAGGGCGACGUACAAAAUUGCAUGAACUAUAGGGGUAUUAAGCUAAUGAGUCAUAUAAUGAAGCUCUGGGAGAGAGUCAUUGAGCAUAGAUUGAGGCAAGAGACACGGGUUUCGGACAACCAAUUCGGGUUCAUGCCAGGGCGCUCAACCAUGGAGGCAAUCUAUCUCUUACGAAAAUUGAUGGAAAGAUGUAGAGAUGAGAAAAAGGAUUUACACAUGGUCUUUAUAGAUUUGGAAAAAGCGUAUGAUGGGGUCCCAAGAGACAUUCUUUGGAGGAUUUUAGAGAAGAAAUGAGUACGAGUAGCAUAUAUCCAAGCUAUAAAGGAUAUGUAUGAAGGAGCAAAGACUGCCGUAAAAACUCAUGAAGGACAAACCGAAAGCUUCCCCAUAACGGUAGGAUUACAUCAAGGCUCAUCCUUAAGUCCUUAUCUUUUUGCGUUGGUAAUGGAUGAGUUAACAGGAUAUAUUCAAGAUGAUAUUCCUUGGUUAUGCUUUUCGCAGACGAUAUAGUGUUGAUAGAUGAAACUCAGAAAUGGGUAAAUGCGAAGCUUAACCUUUGGAGAGAAGUGUUGGAAUCUAAAGGUUUUCGCCUAAGCCGAUCAAAGACAGAAUAUAUGGAGUGCAAGUUCAGUGCAAAUGGAGGCCAAAAUGAGUUAGGGGUGAGGAUCGGAGAUCAGGAAAUACCAAAGAGCGAUCGUUUUCGCUACUUAGGAUCUAUCUUGCAAAAGAACGGAGAAUUAGAUGGAGAUCUCAACCAUAGAAUACAAGCUGGAUGGAUGAAGUGGAAGAGUGCAUCCGCCGUGUUGUGUGACCGUCGUAUGCCACUGAAGCUCAAGGGAAAAUUUUAUAGGAUGGCAAUAAGGCCAGCGAUGCUGUAUGGCACAGAAUGUUGGGCGGUGAAGCAUCAACACGUACACAAAAUGGGUGUAGCGGAGAUGAGGAUGCUUCGUUGAAUGUGUGGGCACACGAUAAAUGAUAAGUUUAGGAAUGAGGAUAUCCGAGGUAAAGUAGGAGUAGCCGAAAUUGUAGGAAAGCUGAGAGAAAAUCGGUUACAGUGGUUUGGACAUGUGCAAAGAAGGCCUACUGAUGCUCCGGUUAGAAGAUACGACUACGGGACAGAGGUUCAGGGCCGAAGGGGUAGAGGAAGACCUAGGAAAACUUUGGAAGAGACUCUAAGAAAAGACUUAGAGUACUUGGAUCUAACGAAAACAUGACACAUGACCGAGCACAAUAGCGUUUUAAGAUUCAUAUAGCCGACCCCACCCAGUGAAGAAGGCUUUGGUAUUUAACACAAUACGUUAAAAUGAAGUAAAGCUUAUUUAUUGAUAUCUCCGAUAAGUUACAAAUAUGUACAUAUACAUGAGUCAAAAUAAACAAACAAGAGAGAGCCUUCACAAAGGUUGCUUAGGAGAAAUCUCAUCAGUCGGUAGAGCCCCAGAAAGAGAAGACACCGGAGGGGGAUCAUUCGGAGCCUCAGUACUGGACAGAACCCUAGAAGGAGGAGGCAUCAGAGGUUGAUCAUUUGGAGCUUCAUUACGCGGUACAGCCCUAGAAGACGAAGGUAAUAAAUGCCUUUGGAACAAACCCACAAACCGCUGAUGAUCAAGUAAAACCUGACCAUCAUAUUCUUUCAUAUGGUCAAGCUUCAUCUUCAUGUUUUUAGCAUAGUCAUGUGCGAGCCGGUGCAACUGUUUAUUCUCAUGCUUGAGCCCUCUAAUCUUCUGUUUGAGACUCAUCACUUCAGCCGCCAAUGAUUCAACUUGGCGGGUUCGAGUAAAUAGGCGUUGAGCCAUAUUAGACACAGAACCUGCACACUGAACACUCAGAGCCAGAGAAUCCUUAACAGCCAACUCAUCAAACCGUUUGGAAAGUAGUCUGUUAUCUUUGGGAGUGAGAAGGUUCCUGGCCACCACCGCAGCGGUCAUAUCAUUCUUCAUCACGGAAUCCCCAAUGGUAUGAGGACCAGUAGGGGAUAAGAAGGAUGGGCGCCAUAUGUUGUCUGGAGAAGGCGUGGCUGCCUCUUCAACAAGGUUCAAGUCAAAACGACGGUCGGAUGGGCCAGACAUUUUCAAAGGUGUUGAAGAGAGAAGAGGUCGGACAAAGAUCUUAGAAGUGCAAGAAGGGAGCUUCUACUGGUGGAGAUUCAAGUGUUCUUUGGAACUUAAUGCCAGCCUCAAUAAAAUCUGCACUCGACGGACCUUCAGAAAUCGAAGAGGCGUUUGCUUUCUCAAAAGCUGGGCUGUUCAGAGACCACGAGGGCUGAUCUCAGAAAUCGAAGAGGCGUUUGCUUUCUCAAAAGCUGGGCUGCAAAGACCAUGAAGGCCGAUCUCAGAAAUCGAAGAAGCGCUUGCUUUCUCAAAAGUUGGGUUGCUCAGAGACCACGAGGGCCUAUCUCAGAAAUCGAAGAGGCACCUGCUCUUUUCAGCCUUGUCAGCACCUGUCACAUGCACACUCAGCUUUGCUGAAAUUACGGGCAUUCUGUUGAAGUAGAAAGCACGUGAAUCUUACUGUUCAAUCAUCCACUUUCCACACGCACCAUCAGCUCAUGGGUACCACAUAUAACUUUGCCAAAGAUCUCUGUCAAAGUUUAGACACGUGAAGCUUGCAGCUCCCACUACAUCGCUAUGACCAAGAAGGGUAAAAGAAUAGCAAAGAAACAGCACUAACAAAGUUUAGACACAUAAAUUUUGACGGUCUAGCUACCAUAUUAUUACCCACAAGGGUAAAGGAACAUCACCACUGCUAGAUAAUUGGAAAGUCCAUAUGAGUCAACCUCUGUGUGUUGUGGCAAGGUAGACUAGCAAACAUGCCCAACCUUUACUCACAUUCGAGAAAACACUCCCAACAAGAUUGCUUGCUCCAAAAUCGAAGAGGCACCGUCCUCCGAAUCUCGAGAGCCAGACUCCCAACAUGAUUACUUUCUCAAAAAUUGAAGAGACACCGCUAUCUGAAUCUCGAGAGCCAGACUCCCAGCAGGAUUGCUUUCUCAAAAAUCAAAGAGGCAUCGUUCUCCGAAUCUCGAGAGCCAGAUCCUCAACAGGAUUGCUUGUUCGAAAACCGAAGAGGCACCGUUUUCUCAACUUCGAGAGCCAGAUCUCCUUGGAUAAAGCUUGUCUGUAAUCUUCACACUCAACAUCAGCUUUCCAGAUACCACAGACCACUUUUUCAAAGUGCUCUAACACACGUGAAGCUGGCAGCUCCCACUACCGUGCUAUGACCAAGCAGGGUAAAUGAAUAGCAUUACUACUUGUUGUUAGGGAGACUCCUAUAUAUGUCGACCUCCAUCCUCAACGGAUAGGCAGACCUGCAAAAAUGCUCAACCCUUCCUCAUAUCUGAGAGGGCACUCCCAACUAAGCCUCUCGAAAUACUCAGCUUUCUUUCCUCCCGAUAAUACCUCUGCAAACAAGAUACACCAGAGCAAGAAUAUCUCAUAUCAUCAGGGUUAAAAGCAAGAGUAUCUCAUAUCAUGCUUUUUCCCUGUCUUUUCCUUUGACCUUGUUCUUACCUGCAAGACAAGGAGAAAGAGAGCAAUCAGGCAGCACUUGGAAUCAAGCUUCCAGUCAGGAACUGACUGCCUAGAACCCCUUACCUGAUUACUUACCUGACAUUGCUCUCGAGUACUCAUCUUCAACAUCUUAUGCUUCCAGAAAAGAUACCACAUCUGCCUGAGGAAUAGAUAGGGAAAGUGAGAAUGAUACAAGGAAGCAUGUGGAGACAAGCGUAACAGAACAGGUGCCGAUACAUCCACUACUUUGUCAACAGCAAAAGUAUCCCAUAUCAGCAGGGUCGAACGUACUCUAGAUUUGAUGGACUUGUUUUGACCCUCAAAUUCUUCAGUCGGCCUUAUACUCUGGAGGAAACCAGAAAACCCUCCAGCCCAGUUCAAGAAUAAGCCUGUGGAAAGUUACUUCUUCAAAAGCAAAAGUAUCUCAUAUCAUCUAUUCUCCUUUUUCUUCUCUUUAUUCUUCAUGCUGCCUGCAAGAUAGGGAGAAUGAGAACAAUCAGCCGAAACUCGAAAUCAAACUUCUGAUCUGGGACUGAUUGCUUGGAGCUCUGAUUGCUUACCUUGUCUGUCACCUCUUUCAGCAGAUCCCCUAGCUCGGCAACUUGGGGAACUCCUACUACAUGGUUUGUAUCGCGCUUGACCAAGCCUGAAACUACAAGUAAGCUUCAAGUGAAAUUGAUACAUUACCUUGUGCAUUUCCACCAGUUAACGAUACCACCCUUGGAUGGAGGAAGAGUACUUCCAGAGAAGAUGCCACAUCUACCUAUGAGACAGAUAAGGCAAGUGAAGACGAUACCACACUUUGGUACUUAGAAGUUUCGUGAUUACGAGAUCAUUCUCCCACACUAUUUUCUAAUGUCAUUUGUACUAAAUCAUUCACUUGUACUCACUAAAGGAGAGCUUGAACCUAUGUAUUGUGUAAACCUUUCACAAUUAAUGAGAACUCCUCUAUUCCGUGGACCUAGCCAAUCUGGGUGAACCACGUAUAUCUUGUGUUUGCUUUCCUGUCUCUAUCCAUUUACAUACUUAACCACACUAAUGACCAGAGCAAUCUAGCAAAGAUCACAAACUUAUUACUUUCUGUUGUGCCAAAGUCCUCACUAAUUUUGUGCAUCAACAAUCCUUAAGUCCUUACCUUUUUUGCGUUGGUAAUGGAUGAGUUAACAGGACAUAUUCAAGAUGAUAUUCCUUGGUGUAUGCUUUUCGCAAAUGAUAUAGUGUUGAUAGAUGAAACUCAGGAAGGGUAAAUGCGAAGCUUAACCUUUGGAGAGAAGUGUUGAAAUCUAAAGGUCUUCGUCUAAGCCGAUCAAAGACAGAAUAUAUGCAGUGCAAGUUCAGUGCAAAUGGAGGCCAAAAUGAGUUUGGGGUGAUGAUCGGAGAUCAGGAAAUACCAAAGAGCGACCGUUUUCGCUACCUAGGAUCUAUCUUGCAAAAGAACAGAGAAUUAGAUGGAGAUCUCAACCAUAGAAUACAAGUUGGAUGGAUGAAGUGGAAGAGUGCAUCCGGCGUGUUGUGUGACCGUCGUAGGCCAUUGAAGCUCAAAGGAAAAUUUUAUAGGACGGCAAUAAGGUCGGCGAUGCUGUAUGACAUAGAAUGUUGGGCGGUGAAGCAUCAACACGUACACAAAAUGGGUUUGGACAUGUGCAAAGAAGGCCUAUUGACGCUCCGGUUCAAAGAUGUGACUACGUGAUAGAGGUUCAGGGCCGAAGGGGUAGAGGAAGACCUAGGAAAACUUGGGAAGAGACCCUAAGAAAAGACUUAGAGUACUUGGAUCUAAUGGAGUACUUGGAUCUAAUGGAGGACAUGACACAAAACCGAGCGCAAUGGCGUUCUAUGAUUCAUAUAGCCAACCCCACUUAGUGGGAAAAGGCUUUGUUGUUGUUGUUGUUGUUGUUGUUGUUGUUAUGUUUCUUUCACAAUUUGUAUGGAUAAUGACAGUGAUUAGAAUUUAGUAUCGGUUCUUUUGUAAUCAAGCUUGAAUCCUACAAUAUGAUCGAAAUUUGAAAUAUUAAUCUGUCACGUCCUUGGAGUAAAUUAAAGUGUGGAAAAAAUUAGCAACCCUUCUAGUUAAUUUGUUUCAUGUCAAAUUUUAGAGCAAUUGGUUUCUUGGAUGUUUGAAGGACCAAAGUUAUCCGAGUCUGCUAGAACUUUCACCAUUAUAAACAAUUGCAAAGAGACAGUCUGGCCUGCAGUUACCCCUGGGGACAACUUAUGGUGGUGGCUUUGUGCUAAAACCAAGCCAGUCAAUGGUGUUCACUGCCCCGGUUAGCUGGUCUGGCAGGAUAUAAGGUCGAACACGCUGCAACUUUGACAAAAAUGGCAAUAGCUCGUGCGAGACCGGGUCCUGUGGCAGCACCCUCCAGUGUGUAGCCUCAGGAAAGCCCCCAGCAACACUUGCCGAAUUCACAUUGGCUGCACUAGACUUUUAUGAUGUGAGCCUUGUUGACGGGUUCAACUUGCCGUUGGUUGUGACACCUCUAAAUUGUACGGGAAACUGAAGUGUAUCUGGUUGUGACGGGGACCUAAGACCAAAUUGCCCGAAUGAGCUAGCUGUGAAGGCCAAUGGGAAGAAAGUUGGAUGCAGAAGUGCGUGUGAUGUGUUCGACACAGAUGAGUACUGCUGCCGAGGGAGUUAUGGCAAUGCUGUUGUGUGUAAACCCACAUAUUAUUCCAAGAAGUUCAAAGAAGCAUGCCCUACUGCCUACAGUUAUGCUUAUGAUGAUCUGAGCAGUAUCUUUACUUGCUCAGGCACAAAUUAUGUCGUUGCUUUCUGCUCAACCAGGUUUGUCAUCAGCGAAUUACAUGCACUAAAAACUGUUUUAGAUCUCUCUUUGGAAUUUGGAUGCAGUGAUUAUAAAAUCGAGGGUCUAAGUAAGAAAAGAUUUUGAACAUUGAAAUUUGAUUCUCUUGCCAAAUAUAUGUCCGCUGUCGCAGGUGCGCGCUUUGCAAACAAAAGUUUAUCAAUGUUUUAGCAUUUUCUAUCCCAUUUUUUUCUUGUGGUGUAAGUUAUCCACUUUAUUGUUGUUUAUAUAUGCAGGAAGCAACAGGUGUGCACAUAUCACCACCACAAGCUUGUGUGUGGUAAUGGAUCUGGAUCAGUAGGUUCAAAGUCACUGAGAUUGUGGGCUGUGAUGAUUGGAUUGUUGAUGAUGAUUAAUCAAUGGAUUAAUUUUUAAAAAAUAAGUUGUUUAUUCCUCUCUAACUGUAGAGGUGUGUUUUACAUCCCCUUUGAACUUAGAAGCAGUACUUAAAAGAAUGUCUUUUUUCAAGAGUUGUCCAUGCUGGUUGGUUGUACAAGAUGAAGUUGUUCAUUUUAUUCUUUUCUUUUCAAAAAGAGAGAAUAUAGUUUAAUGUAGUUGCUUUACACAAACUUUGUAUGUCUCCAAUAUACGGUAGAGUGUUUUUGUAAAAAGUUGUGAGUAUAAUCAGCUUUGAAAUAAAUCAGUUAAUUAUUUAGUAAAAUUUUCUGUAAAAGUGUUAUGAUUAUAAAAAGAAUGUUAAAGUAUUUGAUAAAUUUUUUGUCUAAAGUUGUUGUAAUUGUCUAUAAUAACCAAAAAGGACAUUGAUUUUAAUUUUAUUUUUCAUUAAACUAAUUAAAAUAUGGAAAUAUAUUAAAAAAAUAUCAAAGAGAAAUUUUAUUUGAAUCAUGUAACCUCUUUCUACAUCCAAUUUACUCUCUUCACCCAUAUUAUUUUUUUAUUAAAGAAUUAAUCUUUCUUUAAACCCAAAUCUAUUACCAAAAUUACUCUCUCAAACCUAAUUCAAAAUGUUAAAUUAUCUUUACAUAAAAUUUGAAGAAGAAAAACUAGAACAUGAAAUUAAAAUUAAAUUAAUUCCAAGCAGACCCACCCCACCCAUUCAAACCCCCACCACGACCAGAUCACCCAUCCAAACAACCACCACGACCAGACCACAAACCACCACCACGACUAGAUCAUCCAUCCAAACUGCCAUCGCGACCAGACCACCCAACGUAGCUCCUCCCCUCGCCUAAUGGCCCUAACCCAUUUCCACAAACUCGCAGCCACCACAUUGGCGUGCCCAUCUCAAUUAACCAAAGGAUUUCGAUCUCAUGAGAUAGCAAGCUCAAGCUUGGAGGAGACGGCGAGGAGAAAGAAGGGGGACGAUGCAUAGAAAAAGAAAGGAAAACUAAUGAAAAGGGUUUGAAAAUUUUGAGUUUUAAUAAUAAGGACAAAAUAAAGGGUAAAGUGAAUAGUACCAGGAUUGAUUUUUUAAUGUAAAAAUGUGAUUUUUCGUUAAAGUGAACAGUACCAAAUGCUUUUCGUUAAAGUUCUCUAGAAAGAAAGGGUAGGAUUGCCAUUAAAAAUUCAUUAAAUAGUCACUGUUCAUCAGCGUUUUAGAAAAAAAAAAAAAAAAAAAAGCCUAUUUUCAAAGCAUGUUUUUGCUGCUUCUGCUUGGCUUCGAAUGGGCCUUACACUGUUCACCAGCGUUUGAGAAAGAAAAAUGUUUUUGUUUACAAACAUAUAAUACAGCCCAGCUUUUUUUUCAGACCUGCUUUUGAAAAAAAUUAGGCAUUUCCAAACUAAUGGAUUUGGAUUCUCGCUGGAUCCCCUCCUUGGGGAUUCUAGGGAUCAAUGAACAAGAACUGUUGAUAAAAAAUCAUGCCGUCCUAAUUAAAUGCUUUUUAUAUUUGUAAAAGUAAAGCAGCAUCAUUUUGCGUGAAAUGUAAAUAAAAAAGAAAAAAUUGUGGUCGCACGAUUUUUGAUCAACGAUCCGUGUUUGUUGAUCCCUAGGAUCCCUAGGGAGGGGAUCCGACGAGGAUCCAAAUCCGUCCUAAGUCUUUCAAAUGAAUAAAAUCAACAAAAUCUUGCGAACGACUACUUCAUCAAAGGUGGUCCUAUGUAGAAAUCUUAUGGAUAACAGUUUUUGAUUAAUUAAAAAGGAUGAAUCAUAAAAGACCUGAGUUUGGCCAUACUCUCUGAACCCAAGUUCGAAUCUCAUAAAUUCAAUGUUAUUAUCCUGUUGGUUGUUAAACAAAAGGUAGGAUCUUUAGUCAGGUUGGGUCUAAUAAACUCAGACCUAAAGUCCCAUACCACUUCGAUGUGUUUAGUUCGAUCAUAUUGAAUCAGAUUGUGAAUAAUAUAAAUCGCUUAUUUUAUUAUCAGUAUACAAUGGCAUGACAGUAGAGAUGGGCAAAAUAUCCACAGGUAUGGAUAACCGUGGUUACCGUUCAUUUAAAAUUCACGGUUACGGUUAUGGCUAACCGUUGAAACAAAUAAACAGUUAUAGGUAUAACUGUUUAUCCAUGAAAUUUAAAUGGAUGAUUAUGAAUAUUACUGACGGUUACAAACAAGUACCCAUUUAACCAUUUAUUUAAUAUUUAUAAAAUUAAAAAAAUUUAAAAUUAAAAACAUAAAAACUAUUCGAUAUCUCCCAAGGAAGAAAAUAUCGGUAAUAUCGGAAAUAUCGGUAGUCUGAAAACACGAAAAUAUCGAUGGAAAUAUUGGGAUAAUAUCGAUAUCGAUAAAAAUUACAUGGAAACCACGGAAAUUGUAAGAAAAACUUGGAAAUUUUUAUUGAAACUUUGCAGGAUGUUUAUUUAGUUAAUUAUCUAUUAGUUUAUCACAAAAAAUUGGAAAGAAAUGCAUUGCAUGAUGGAUUUAACAUUAUCAAGUUGAUUAUAUAACGAGCUGGCAAACAUUGUGAGUGUAGAAAAUAUGUAGUAAUUAAUGAAAGAAGUUUAAACACACCAUAAUCAUUUAUAUAUAAUGAAUUAGUACAAUAUUUUACAUUUUAUACAUUGCAUGAUAUUAACAAUUUAAUGCUCAUUUGUACAACUAAAUAUAUGCAACUCGACAAGAUUUAGACAUGAGUGAGUGAGAAACAAAAAAAAGAGGGGCACAUAAGAUCUAAGAGAGGAAUUUUAGGAGAAUUUAGACAUAGUCAUGAAGAAAUAAAUCACAAAAAGAUAGAUAUGCGAGAUUAGAAAUGCAACACGUGAGGGAUUUGCAAAUGACUGCUUAAAAUGAGUCAUUAACAAAUUUCUUUUACAUAUAUUUUGUAAUGUUCAUGUGAUACAUUUCUAAUUCCUCAUAUUUAACUUUGUGCGACAUAUUUCUUCUUCAUUUGCCUAAAAUGCAUGCCUUGUAGUUUGGGAGUCUCUCACCCAAACAUACAUGUAGUAUUGGGUGUGGUAACUAUUUGUAAUAACUUUUUAUAGUGGAAACUCAACUUCCUUUAAUAUGCAAGCAUAUAUGCUCCAGAUCCAUGAAGAAAACUAAGGUUUCAACCCCAAAAUUAAUUGGCAAUAAGAGUUAUGACACAACUCCUAAUAAACUUUGUGAGGAAUUUCUUAAUUAACUCUCCGAUUUGGAACUUUUCUUACAUCCAUGCAGUAAGAUGAGGAAAAAAGAACGUUGCUUCUAGUAAAAAUUCCUUAGUUUUAUAACAUCAUACAAGAUUAGAACCAUUACCAACACAAGUUGAGCAUCAUUACUAACAAAACAAAUAUUUAUUGUAUUUUGUAUUGACAACUUAUUAUCUUGGUGAUCAAUGAUGAAAUUACAGUAAAAAGAAAGAGGGAAGGAACUGACUAAAGCAGCAUCAUAAUAACCCUUCCCAAUUUGAGCUAGCAUUCGCAGGAAGUAAUGGUUACAAUAUAAACCUGGCAUGAUAAUAACCCUUCCCACAUCGGCUGUGCAAUAAAACUGAGCAAGCAAACAGUCUAUAAAAGAUUGUUUUCAUCCCACAUCGGCUGUGCAAUGGAAGUGAGUAACCAAACAAGUCUAUAAAAGCUACAUUCCAAAACUGAUGAAGACAGUCUUUUCUCGGUCUUUUGGCUAAGAUUAGAUGUGCUAUCUGAUCUUGUUAGUUUAAUAUUUUUAGUACUUUUGAAAUAUCGCGAUAUUAUCGGUAAUAUCGCGAUAUUAUCGGUAAUAUCGCGAUAUUAUCGAUAAUAUCGCGAUAUUUUGAUGAAAUUUUUUGGAUACUUAUUAAUAUAUCGGUGAAGCAAAAAAACGAUAAUAUCGGCGAAAUAUCGCCGAUAUUAUCGAUAUUUAAAUCCUUGAUCUCUCCCAUACUCCCAUUGCCGCUCAUCUCUCUCAUCUCCGCCUCUCUCUCAUCUCCUGCAUGAAUGUAUUAGGCUUUACGGCUUUUGCAUCACCAACCCCACUGCCCACUAAUUACCAUUUCUAGACAAUAAUAUUAGGUUUUUUUAGGGACAAAGCAAACAAGUCAUCACUCAUCACGAACGCUCCAUUUUUGGAAGCUUCAAAAAAGCCCUCCGUCUAAGUUUAUGUGGGUCUGCUUCUCUGCUGUUGUCCCUUUAAAUGAGAGGCUCAAGUUCUCUGAUCUGCAUUUCAUACAAAUUUCUUUUUUAAUUUUUAACUUGUUAAAAAAUGGGUAAAACAAGGGUAAAUGUUAGGAUGCUAGAUGGCAUCAUCUUGUGGUGACAGUUAGAGUUGAGUAUUAGUAUAAAUAGUACAUUGUAAGAGAGGAAAAGGGGUUAAUGAAAUGAUAUUGUUGUUCUGUUACUAUCUCUCUGUGCAAUUAUAGAAGAUGUGGAGCUAGGUUCUAACAUUGGUAUCAGCGCCUAGGUUCCCGAUGCUGCUGAGGGGGCAACCUGGAAAGGGCCACCUUAACGGGACGACCAAGGGGUGCGUCGGUGUUCAGAGUGAAAGCCACCAGAGUAAGGGCCGCCGUGGGCAUCGGCUUCCAAAAUGUGGUGUAAUGUUAUGAUCCCACAUCGACUACACUUAUAGAGAUGUAGAGGUUCUUAAGUUCUUGGGGUCCUCCCACCUAUUGGACUAGUCUUUUGGGUUAGGCUAUUCCCUUAGGCUUGAGUACCUAAUAUUGGUAUCAGAGCCUAGGUUCCCGACGCUGCGGAAGGGGCGACCUGGAAAGGGCUACCUUAACGGGACGACCAAGGGGUGCGCCGUUGUUAAGAAUGAAAGCCACCAGAGUAAGGGCCGCCGUGGACGUCGGCUUCCCGAAGGGUGGUGUAAUGUUAUGAUCCCAUAUUGACUACACUUAUGGGGGUGUAGGGGUUCUUAAGUCCUUGGGGUCCUUCCACCUAUUGGACGAGUUUUUUGGGUUGGGCUAUUCCCUUGGGCUUGAGUACCUAAUAGUAAAUGGGUAAACGGGUAUGCGGUUAUGGUUAAACAAGUAUACGAUUACGGUUAAAUGAGUAUGCGGUUAUGAGUACGGUUAACCGUUUGUAAAUGGUUAUAGAUAUGGGUAUACCUAUUUAUGCAAUUACCCAACGGGUAAACGGUUAUGCAGGUAAGGACUUAAACGGUUAUAGAUAAAUAACCGCAAUUAUCUGUCCGCCAUAACUGUUGACCAUCCCUCGCAUGAGGUUUUAAGCUUAAACCUCAAUUUUAUCAUUAGCACAUUUCAUGUUUUGUCCAUAAUAACUCAUAAAUACAAUGUGGUAUAUACCUCGAUGCUCAAUCUAACAACAAAAUCUUGUUUUUAGUUCGUCAAGUGACAAUAUUACCUCCAACAAAUAUAAGUAGUUCAAUGUUGAAUGUCGAAUCAAUCCCAAUUUGCAUGUGUCCCGAUAAUAUCAAGAUGUCCAAGCUUCAAAAUUAUUGUGACCUAUAAUUAACUGAGAGAAUGAGAGGGGUGCAGAAAAGAGAAAGAGUGGAGAGAUUGUAGAAUGCUUAAGAAUUCUUAUGUUCUAUUUCGGCCUUUAUUAAUAGUAAAAUAAGAGGAAAGAAUUAACUUGCCUUCCAAAUAAAUACAAUCAUAAAAAUAAAAAAUAAAAAAAUAAUAAUUAGAAUAAUAAAUAAUUUAGAAACCAAAUCUAUUUAAAAUUUACAUAAUCAUACAAUUAAAGAAUAUCCAUAACAGGAACGAAACAAUUAAGGGGCCUUACUCUCGAACACAAAAAAUAAAAUGGCGGGAGGUGGAAAGCUCCCCUUGAAAGUGUUCGAAUCGUAUAAACCUAUUCCAAUUCCUCUUUCGCUUUUUCAUAAUUUUUUUAUAAACUCAAUCAAAUUGUUGGGAACUUUUUUUCCCUUUAACGUUAAGUAGCCCCUUUCACCGACGUGCUGAAAUUCGCUGCCGACGAAUUCAAAGUGCCUCCCCAAACCAGCGCUACCAUCACCAACGGUAAUUCGAUUUCUGGGCUUUUGCAUGUUGCUGUACAUUUCGGUUGUCUCGUGAAGUCUGUGACUUUCCGAAUUGAUGAUUUAUGUGUGACCGCAAAUUUCGAUUGAUUGUUUGUGGGGUUUAGGGCAUUGAUCGGAAUCGAAUUAGGGUUUUUGGUUUUUGGUAAGUGGGCAUCCCAUUUUUCAUAUCCGAGGUAUGAGAUUGCAAUACGCUUAUGAAGAUUAUAUCUUGUGGUCUUUUUUAUUGACAACUCGAAUUUAUAAUUCAUCUAGAGCAUAAGUGGUAUAAACUCGAAUAAAGAUCGAAUUUUGAAUUUAGGGAAUGUAUAGAGCGACUUUACAUAAGUGCACUUUAGAAUUUCUAUAGAAUGUUUGAACAGUUCAUAAUUUUUCUUCAUUGCCACCACGUAACGGUAUCUCAGUCCUUUUCCCUUUGAGGACAACAAGCUUUGCUUUGUUAGCUUAAUUACUAUAUGAUUCCCAUAUCCUAAGAGAUCAAAACAGAAAUUAGAAGAAAUUGAUAAUAACAAAAGUAAAUGUAUGUCAAUAUCAUAGGGAAGAAUAUUAAGAAAGGAAAGAUGAUACAGUAUCUUGGAAGACAGUGUAGAUUUUAUACUUAUACAGUGGGCUCUGCAAGACCUCUUAAUUUUCAGGAUAUCACUGCCUUCGGUGUUGAAAUUUUGUUGUUUAUUUCUUCUCACUUUUGUGCAGAUGGUGUUGGAAUCGAUCCUCAGCAAAGUGCAGGUCUGCCAAUGCUUUACCUUUAUUUCUCUUUUCUGUUCUCCAUUUAUGUUUUUGCUAUUGUAUAAUUUUGUAUCCUAAAUUCCUUAUCAGCAAUUUAGACGCACUAUAUAGAUUUACCCUACCAACCUUCUCUCCGUAGAAUUAGUCUUCAUAACAUUAGUUCAACAACAACAACAACAACAACAACAAAGCCUUUUCCCACUAAGUGGGGUCGGCUAUAUGAAUCCUAGAACGCCAUUGCGCUCGGUUUUGUGUCAUGUCCUCCGUUAGAUCCAAGUACUCUAAGUCUUUUCUUAGAGUCUCUUCCAAAGUUUUCCUAGGUCUUCCUCUACCCCUUCGGCCCUGAACCUCUGUCCCGUAGUCACAUCUUCGAACCGGAGCGUCAUUCGGCCUUCUUUGCACAUGUCCAAAUCACCGGAGCCGAUUUUCUCUCAUCUUUCCUACAAUUUCGGCUACUCCUACUUUACCUCGGAUAUCCUCAUUCCCAAUCUUAUCCUUUCUCGUCGUGUGCCCACACAUCCCACGAAGCAUCCUCAUCUCCGCUACACCCAUUUUGUGUACGUGUUGAUGCUUCACCGCCCAACAUUCUAUGCCAUACAACAUCGCUGGCCUUAUUGCCGUCCUAUAAAAAUUUUCCCUUGAGCUUCAGUGGCCUACGACGGUCACACAACACGCCGGAUGCAUUCUAACACUUCAUCCAUCCAGCUCGUAUUCUAUGGUUGAGAUCUCCAUCUAAUUCUCCGUUCUCUUGCAAGAUAGAUCCUAGGUAGCGAAAACGGUCGCUUUUUGUGAUCUUCGCUAGAUUGCUCCGGUCAUUAGUGUGGAUAAGUAUAUAAAUGGAUAGAGAUAGGAAAGCAAACACAAGAUGUACGUGGUUCACCCAUAUUGGCUACGUCCACGGAAUAGAAGAGUUCUUAUUAAUUGUGAAGGGUUUACACAAGUACAUAGGUUCAAGCUCUCCUUUAGUGAGUACAAGUGAAUGAUUUAGUACAAAUGACAUUAAGAAAUAUUGUGGGAGAAUGAUCUCGUAAUCACGAAACUUCUAAGUAUCGGAGUGUGGAGUCGUCUUGACUUGCCUUAUCUGUCUCAUAGGUAGAUGUGGCAUCUUCUCUGGAAGUACUCUUCCUCCAUCCAGGGGUGGUAUCUUUAACUGGUGGAGAUGCACAAGGUAAUGUAUCAAUUUCACUUGAAGCUUACUUGUAGUUUCAGGCUUGGUCAAGCGCGAUACAAACCAUGUAGUAGGAGUCCCCCAAGUCGCCGAGCUAGGGGGUCUGCUGAAAGAGGUGACAGACAAGGUAAGCAAUCAGAGCUCCGACUGAUUGUUCACCUUCUCCCCAUCUUGCAGCAGCAUGAAGGAUAAAGAGAAGAAAAAUGAGAAGAGAUGAUAUGAGAUACUUUUGCUUUUGAAGAAGUAACUUUCCACAGGCUUAUUCUUGAACUGAGCUGGGUUUUCUGGUUUCCUCCUAAGGUUGAAGAAUUGAGGGUCAAAAAGUCCAUCAAAUCUAGUACGUUGAAUAUCUACAGAGUAAUGGAUGUAUCGCGUGUGCUGUUACGCUUGUCUUGUCCACAUGCUUCCUUGUAUCCUUCGCACUUGCCCUAUCUGUUCCUCAAGCAGCAGCAUGCAGAAUCUGUUCUUCCUGGAAACAAGUAAGAUGUUGAAGAUGAGUACUCGAGUGAGCAAUGCCAGGUAAGUAAUCAGGUAAGGGGUUCCAGGCAGUCAGUUCUUGGCUGGAAGCUUGAUUCGUAUUCCAAGUGCUGACUGAUUGCUCUCUUCUCCUUGUCUUGCAGGUAAAAACAAGGCCAAAGGAAAAGACAGGGAAAAGCAUGCAUAUAUGGGAUACUCUUGCUUGCUUUUAACCCUGAUGAUAUGAGAUAUUCUCUUGCUCUAGUAUAGCUGUUUGCAAGCUGUAUUAUCGGGGGGAAAGAAAGCUGAAUAUUUCGAAAGGGCUUCGUUGGGAGUGCCCUCUCAAGAUAUGAUGAAGGGUUGAGCAUUUUUGCAGGUCUGCCUGUCCGUUGGGGAUGGAGGUUGACAUAUAUAGGAGUCUCCCUAACAGGUAGUACAUGCUAUUCCCUUUACCCUGCUUGGUCAUAGCACGGUGUAGUGGGAGCUGUCAGUUUCACAUGUUUUUAACUCUGUCAGAGCACUUUGAAAAAGUGGUCUGUGGAUUGGCUCUCGUGGGAACGAUAUUUUCGAUUUUUGGCUCUCGCAGAGAUUCGGAGAACGAUGGUCCUCUCUCGAUUUCGAUUUUUGAAGAAAUUUUGGCAGAAAGUAAACAAUGCAUGUUGGCUGUGGGUCUGGCUCUCUUGAGUCGAUUUGAAGGGUUGAGCUGAAAAAUUUUUGCAUUAAAGGUGAUGAGGUCCAAUUUUCAAAAAUUACUAGUUUUCCUGUUUUAGCAGGGAAAUUUUUCAUUUUAGAUUUAAUCAUGGCGGAUCAGAUGCUCCGAUUCAUUUGUUGACUCUUCAGUUUCUUUUUUUUUAAUUUGCGGAGUUCAACAGGGUGUGUUCCUCUUCGAUUUUGGAAGCAAGUAAUCUUGUUGGGAAGUGUUGCUCUCGAAUGUGAGUAAAGGUUGGGCAUGUUUGCUAGUCUACUUACCCUUGCCACGAAGCACAAAGGUUGAUACACAGGGGACUUUCCAAUUAUCCAGCAAAUGGUACUGUUUCCUUUACCCUCUCUUCGAAUUUUGAGAAAUGUAGGAUCAUGUUGGGAGUCUGUGCUCUCGAGAUUCGGAGGACGGUGCCCUCUCGAUUUUAGAGCAAGCAAUCUUGUUUGGAGUGUUUCUCUCGAAUGUGAGUAAAGUUGGGCAUGUUUGCUAGUCUACCUUGCCACGAAGCACAGAGGUUGGACACACACAGGGAGUUUCCAAUUAUCCAGCAGUGGUACUGUUCCUUUACCCUUGUGGGUAAUAAAUAUUGGUAGCUAGACCUUCAAAAUUUAUGUGUCUAAACUUUUGUUAGUGUUGUUUCUUUGCUAUUCUUGUUACCUUUCUUGGUCAGAGCGAUGUAGUGGGUCAGAGCUGCAAGAACUUCGUGCUGAACUCUCAAAAUUUGCGCAGAGAACUUUUUAUCUGGCAAAGUUGUAUCUAUUGUGCGUACCUUGCAUGUCAAACCAAUGAGCUAUGUGUUGACGUGUGGGAAGUGGUGUUGUGAUUGAACAGUAAGAUUCAUUGUUUUUGCUUUCUACUUCACCAGAGAAGUCUUCGACAGAAUGUAUGCCCAUAAUAUUCUGCAAAAGCUGAGUGUGCGUGUGACAGGUGCUGACAAGGCUAGAAAUAGUAGGUGCCUCUUCGAUUUCUGAGAUCGGCCCUCGUGGUCUCUGAGCACAGCCCAGCUUUUGAGAAAGCGAGCGCCCUGUUCGAUUGAUUCGAAGAACCGAUCGCCUCAUCGAUUUUUUGAGAAAAGCAGUCAUCGCUGGGGGUCUGGCUCUCUCGAAGAUUCGGGGUAGCAGUGUCUCUUCGUCUGAUUUUUUAGAAAGUAAUCAUGUUGGGAGUCUGGCUCUCGAGAAUUCGGAGGCGGGCCUCUCUUCGAUUUUGGAGCAAGCAGUUUUCUUGUUGGGAGUGUUUUCUCGAAUGUGUUUUAGAGUAAAGGUUGGGCAUGUUUGCUAGUCUACCUUGCCACGAAGCACAGAGGUUGACACACACGCAGGGACUUUGUCCAAUUAUCCAGCAAUGGUACUGUUCCUUUUACCCUCUCUCACUGCGAUUUUUAAGAAAGUUGAGUCAUCAUGUUGGGAGUCUGGCUCGCUCGAGAUUCGGAGGACCCGGUGCCUUCUUCGAUUUUGGAGCAAGCAAUCUUAUUGGAGUGUUUUCCUCGAAUGUGAGUAAAGGUUGGGCAUGUUUGCUAGUCUACCUUGCCACGAAGCACAGAGGUUGACAACACAGGGACUGGUCCAAUUAUCCAGCAGUGGUACUGUUCCUUUACCCUUGUGGGUUAAUAUAUGGUAGCUAGACCUUCAAAAUUUAUGGGUCUUAAACUUGUUAGUGCUGUUUCUUUGCUAUUCUUUUUUUGCUAUUCUUUUACCUUCUUGGUCAGAGCGAUGUAGUGGGAGCUGCAAGCUUCACGUGCUCGACUUUGGCAGAGAACUUUGGCAAAGUUUUAUGUGGUACCCAUGAGCUAUUGUUGCGUGUGGGAAGUGGGUGAUUGAACAGUAAGAUUCAUGUGUUUUCUACUUCCCCAGAAGUCUUCGACAGAAUGCCCAUAAUUUCCGCAAAGCUGAGUGUGCGCGUGACAGGUGCUGACAAGGCUGGAAAAGUAGGUGCCUCUUCGAUUUCUGAGAUCGGCCCUCGUGGUCUCUGGGGAGCCCAGCUUUUGAGAAAGCGAGCGCCUCUUCAAUUUCUGAGACCAGCCUUCGUGGUCUUUGAGCAGCCCAACUUUUGAGAAAGCAAACGCCUCUUAGAUUUCUGAGAUCAACCCUCGUGAUCUCUAAGCAGCCCAGCUUUUGAGAAAGCAAACGCCUCUUCGAUUUCUGAGCAGGCGCCUUCUUCGAUUUCUGAAGCUCCGUCGAGUGCAGAUUUUUAUAAGGGCUGACAUUAAGUUCCAAAGCACACUUGAAUCUCCACCAGUAGAAGCUUCAUUCUUGCACUUCUAAGAUCUUGAUUUGUCCGACCUCUUCUCUCUUCAACACCUUUGAAAAUGUCUGGCCCUCCGACCGUCGUUUUGACUUGAACCUUGUUGAAGAGGCAGCCCCGCCUUCUCCAGACAACAUAUGGCGCCCAUCCUUCGUCUCCCCUACUGGUCCUCUUACCGUUGGGGAUUCCGUGAUGAAGAAUGAUAUGACCGCUGCGGUGGUGGCCAAGAACCUUCUCACUCCCAAAGAUAACAGACUACUUUCCAAACGGUCUGAUGAGUUAGCUGUUAAGGAUUCGCUGGCUCUCAGUGUUCAGUGUGCAGGUUCUGUGUCUAAUAUGGCCCAACGCCUAUUUGCUCGAACCCGCCAAGUUGAAUCAUUGGCGGCUGAAGUGAUGAGUCUCAAACAGGAGAUUAGAGGGCUCAAGCAUGAGAAUAAACAGUUGCACCGGCUCGCACAUGACUAUGCUACACAAACAUGAAGAGGAAGCUUGACCAGAUGAAGGAAACUGAUGGUCAGGUUUUACUUGAUCAUCAGAGAUUUUGUAGGUUUGUUCCAAAGGCAUUUAUUGCCUUCGUCUUCUGGGGCUGUACCGCGUAAUGAAGCUCCAAAUGAUCAACCUCUGAUGCCUCCUCCUUCUAGGGUUCUGUCCAGUACUGAGGCUCCAAAUGAUCCCCCUCCGGUGCCUUCUCUUUCUGGGGCUCUACCGACUGCUGAGACUUCUCCUAAGCAACCUUUGUGAAGGCUCCCUCUUGUGUGUUUAUUUUGACUCAUGUAUAUGUACAUAUUUGUAGCUUAUCGGGGAUAUCAAUAAAUAAGCUUUCCUUCAUUUCAACGUAUUGUGUUAAAUACACCAAAGCCUUCUUCGCUAAGUUCUUUGAAUUUUCUUUUGUUGAAGCUUGUAUGUUGAAGCUUUCUGAGUGGAGCAUGUAGGUUGGGGUAGUGUUCCCUUAAUUUUCCGAGUGAGGAAAACUUCUCGGUUGGAGAACUUGGAAAAUCCAAGUCACUGAGUGGGAUCGGCUAUAUGAAUUUAGAACGCCAUUGUGCUCGAUCCUGUGUCAUGUCCUUCGUUAGAUCCAAGUACUCUAAGUCUUUUCUUAGAGUCUCUUCCAAAGUUUUCCUAGGUCUUCCUCUACCCCUUCGGCCCUGAACCUCUGUCCCAUCGUCGCAUCUUCUAAUCGGAGCGUCAGUAGGCCUUCUUUGCACAUGUCCAAACCACCGUAACCGAUUUUCUCAUCUUUCCUUCAAUUUCGGCUACUCCUACUUUACCCCGGAUAUCCUCAUUCCUAAUCUUAUCCUUUCUUGUGUGCCCACACAUCCAACGAAGCAUCCUCAUCUCCGCUACACCCAUUUUGUGUACGUGUUGAUGUUUCACCGCCCAACAUUCUGUGCCAUACAGCAUCGCCGGCCUUAUUGCCGUCCUAUAAAAUUUUCCCUUAAGCUUCAGUGGCAUACGGCGGUCACAUAACACGCCGGAUGCACUCUUCCACUUCAUCCAUCCAGCUUGUAUUCUAUGGUUGAGAUCUCCAUCUAAUUCUCCGUUCUUUUGCAAGAUAGAUCCUAGGUAACGAAAACGGUCGCUCUUUGGUAUUUCUUGAUCUCCGAUUCUCACCCCUAACUCGUUUUGGCCUCCAUUUGCACUGAACUUGCACUCCAUAUAUUCUGUCUUUGAUCGGCUUAGGCGAAGACCUUUAGAUUCCAACACUUCUCUCCAAAGGUUAAGCUUUGCAUUUACCCCUUCCUGAGUUUCAUCUAUCAACACUAUAUCGUCUGCGAAAAGCAUACACCAAGGAAUAUCAUCUUGAAUAUGUCUUGUUAACUCAUCCAUUACCAACGCAAAAAGGUAAGGACUUAAGGAUGAGCCUUGAUGUAAUCCUACAGUUAUGGGAAAGCUUUCGGUUUGUCCUUCAUGAGUUCUUACGGCAGUCUUUGCUCCUUCAUACAUAUCCUUUAUAGCUUGGAUAUAUGCUACUCGUACUCCUUUCUUCUCUAAAAUCCUCCAAAGAAUGUCUCUUGGGACCCUAUCAUACGCUUUUUCCAAAUCUAUAAAGACCAUGUGUAAAUCCUUUUUCCCAUCUCUAUAUCUUUCCAUCAAUCUUCGUAAGAGAUAGAUUGCCUCCAUGGUUGAGCGCCCUGGCAUGAAACCCGAAUUGGUUGUCCGAAACCCGUGUCUCUUGCCUCAAUCUAUGCUCAAUGACUCUCUCCCAGAGCUUCAUUGUAUGACUCAUUAGCUUAAUACCCCUAUAGUUCAUGCAAUUUUGUACGUCGCCCUUAUUCUUGUAGAUAGGCACCAAAGUGCUCGUGCGCCACUCACUCAUUUGGCAUCUUCUUCGUUUUCAAAUCCUAUUGAAAAGGUCAGUGAGCCAUGUUAUACCUGUCUCUCCCAAAAGUUUCCACACUUCGAUUGGUAUUAUCGUCUGGGCCUAUUGCUUUUUUAUGCUUCAUUCUUCAAAGCUACAACCACUUCUUCCUUCCGGAUUCGACGAUAAAAAGAGUAGUUUCUACACUCUUUCUGAGUUACUCAACUCCCCUAAAGAAGCACUCAUUUCAUGUCCUUCAUUGAAAAGAUUAUGAAAAUAACCUCUCCAUCUGUCUUUAACCGCGUUCUCUGUAGCAAGAACCUUUCCAUCCUCAUCCUUGAUGCACCUCACUUGGUUUAGGUCCCUUGUCUUCUUUUCCCUUGCUCUAGAUAGUUUAUAGAUAUCCAACUCUCCUUCUUUGGUAUCUAGUCGUUUAUACAUAUCGUCGUAAGCCGCUAACUUAGCUUCUCUGACAGCUUUCUUCGCCUCUUGCUUCGCUUUUCUAUACCUUUCACCAUUUUCAUCGGUCCUCUCCUUGUAUAAGGCUUUACAACAUUCCUUCUUAGCCUUCACCUUUGUUUGUACCUCCUCAUUCCACACCACAAGAUUCCUUUUGGUGUGGGGGCAAAGCCCUUGGACUCUCCUAAUACCUCUUUUGCUACUUUUCGGAUACAACUAGCCAUGGAAUCCCACAUUUGGCUAGCUUCCCCCUCUCUAUCCCACACACAUUGGGUGAUUACCUUCUCUUUGAAAAUGACUUGUUUUUCUUCUUUUAGAUUCCACCAUCUAGUCCUUGGGCACUUCCAAGUCUUGUUCUUUUGUCUUACUUCUUUUGAUAUGUACAUCCAUCACCAACAAGCGAUGUUGAUUAGCCACGCUCUCUCCUGGGUAUAACUUUGCAAUCCUUACAAGUUAUACGAUCCCCUUUCCUCAUUAGAAGAAAAUCUAUUUGUGUUUUUUGACGACCCACUCUUGUAGGUGAUCACAUGUUCUUCUCUCUUCUUAAAGAAGGUGUUGGCUAAGAGAGAUCAUAUGCCAUUGCAAAAUCCAAGAUAGCUUCCCCAUCCUCGUUUCUCUCCCCAAAACCAUGGCCACCAUGAAAACCUCCAUAGUUGCCUGUCUCCCUGCCCACGUGUCCAUUUAAAUCUCCUCCUAUAAAUAACUUCUCCGUCUGAGCAAUUCCUUGCACCAAGUCUCCAAGAUCUUCCCAAAAUUUCUCCUUCGAACUCGUAUCCAACCCUACUUGAGGUGCGUACGCACUAAUCACAUUGAUAAGUUCUUGUCCUAUUACAAUCUUGAUUGCCAUGAUUCUAUCUCCUACCCUCUUGACAUCUACAACAUCUUGUACCAAGGUCUUGUCCACGAUGAUGCCAACACCGUUUCUCGUUCUAUUUGUGCCCGAUAAUACCAAAGUUUAAACCCUGAGUUUUCUAGAUCCUUUGCCUUACUACCAACCCACUUAGUUUCUUGUAGGCACAUAAUAUUUAUCCUUCUCCUCACCAUAACUUCCACUACUUCCAUAGAUUUUCCCGUUAAGGUUCCUAUAUUCCACGUUCCUAAACGCAUUUUGCUCUCUUGAACUCUACCCUUCUGUCCUAGCUUCUUCACCCUCCCCCGUCUAAUAGGAUCAAAGUACUUCUUUUGUGUGUCCCGGGUAAAGUUGAUAGGAGCAUAUGCUCCCAAACAACUUUGAGUGGAGUCGUUCGAAAAGAAGUUUCUAUGGCCCCCUUGCUCAUUUAACACUGCAUCCGGGUGCCGAUGGAGAUACAGCGACCCUUGCUCACUUAUCACUGUGUUCGGGCCACACAGCGCGCCACUUACGGGUGACGCCCUAGCUUUAGCGUGAUUUUGUUCUGGAUUCAUUUUCAUAAGGAUUCGACGUGAUCAUGGAGUGCCGGCUGUCGACUACCUGACGCCCUCCCCCUCCUCCUUUAUCCGGGCUUGGGACCGGCCAUGUAAGACAUAGGCGGAGUUUCAUAACAUUAGUUCAACAUGAAUGUAUUUUAUGUUUAACCACUCUAGACCUUACGAGUAACAGAAAGCGUACCUCGCUUUUAAUAAAAAUUGGAUUGGUUGAAAUGCUGGCAUGACAGCUGUUGCUAGUUACCCUGGUAAUAAUUAAAAAGAAAAAAGGAGUGGAUAGUUUCUGCAAACGGGGAUUUUUAUUAAGCUUUGAUGUGGGAAAAAGUAGAAACAGUGGUAGGGAACCUUAACAAACUUGCAGGAAGGGAUUAGGGAAGGAAUCAGAUUCGCUAACAUUGCCAAAAAGAAUCCAUGUAUUACUACUGCUUUGGUUUACUAGUGCUUUCUCCACACGUAUUCUUCUCCACCCUCUUCCUUUAUAUGUGCAUAUUGUCAAACUUUCUUUGCACAAUUCUUCAUGUAAUUUCAUCGACCUCAAGUUAGAAAGAACAAAGAUCGAUUGAUAGGCAGAGGAAGUAAGAAAAAUGGAAAAACAUUUCAAUCUGUUAAUGUUACCACUUUUACCAGUUGUUAUGUUUCUUUCAGGUAUUACCUGUGUAAUGCUAGGGAGACCAAAUUUCUAAACCAAAUGAUGUGGAUGUUGAUGAUUGGAUUUUACUUAAUGUUGAUGGACAUGCUUAUUUCCUAUUGGUGACGCAUCAUUUGGUUUGUAAAUUUGGUUUAAAAUUUUGGUCUCCCUAGCAUUAUCCUAUUUCUUGAUCAUAUCAAUUUUUCUGGUUUAUGUUUCUUUCACAGUUUGUGUGGAUAAUGGCAUUGACUAGAAUGUAGUAUCGGUCCUUUUGUAAACAUGCUCAAAUCAAUAUGAUCAAAAUUCAAAAUAUUAAUCUGUCACAUCCUUGGAUUAAAUUAAGGGUGGAAAAAAUUAACAACCCUUUUAGUUAAUUUGUGCACCAAUAUUUCAUGUCAAAUUUUAGAGCUAUUGGUUUCUUGGAUGUUUGCAGGACCAAAGUUAUCCGAAUCUGCUAGAACUUUCACCAUUGUAAACAAUUGCAAAGAGACAGUCUGGCCUGCAGUGAUUCCUGCGGACAACUUCACUGCUGGUAGUUUUGUGCUAAAACCGGGCCAGUCAAUCCUGUUCACUGCCCCAGUUAGCUGGUCUGGCAGGAUAUGGGGUCGAACAGGCUGCAACUUUGACAAAAAUGGCAAUGGCUCGUGCCAGACCGGCUGUGGCAGCACCCACCAGUGUGGAGCCUCAGCAAAGCCCCCAGCAACACUCGCUGAAUUCACAUUGGCCAAGCAAGACUUUUAUGAUGUGAGCCUUGUUGACGGGUUCAACCUGCCGUUGGUUGUGACACCUCUAAAUGGUACGGGAAAUUGCAGUGUAUCUGGUUGUGACACGGACCUGAGACCGAAUUGCCCGAAAGAGCUAGCUGUCAAGGCAAAUGGGAAGAAUAUUGGAUGCAGAAGCGCGUGUGACGUGUUCAACACAGAUGAGUACUGCUGCCGAGGGCGUUAUGGCAAUGCUGCGGUGUGUAAACCCACAUAUUAUUCCAAGAAGUUCAAAGAAGCAUGCCCUACUGCCUACAGUUAUGCUUACGAUGAUCCGACCAGUAUCUUUACUUGCUCGGGCACAGAUUACGUCAUCGCUUUCUGCUCAACCAGGUUUGUCAUCAGCUAAUUACAUGCACAAAAACUGUUUUAAAUCUCUCUUUGGGAUUUGGAUGCAGUGAUUAUAUAAUCGAGGGUUGAAAUAAGAAAAGAUUUUGAACAUUGAAAUUUGAUUCUUGUUCAUGUAUUUGUAUCUUCGGUAAUGUUUUCUUGCCAAAUAUAUGUGCGCUCUUGAUGCUGCGCGCUUUGCAAAUAAAAAUUGAUCAAUGUUUUAGCAUUUUGUAUCUGAUUUUUUUUCCCUUGUGGUGUAAGUUAUUCACUUUUAUUGUUGUCAUAUGCAGGAAGCAACCGAUGUGCACAUAUCGCCACCACAAGAUUCCGUGUCCUAAUGUAUCUGGAUCAGUAGGUUUAAAGUCAUUGAGGUGCGCUCUUGAUGCUGCGCGCUUUGCAAAUAAAAAUUGAUCAAUGUUUUAGCAUUUUGUAUCUGAUUUUUUUUCCCUUGUGGUGUAAGUUAUUCACUUUUAUUGUUGUCAUAUGCAGGAAGCAACCGAUGUGCACAUAUCGCCACCACAAGAUUCCGUGUCCAAAUGUAUCUGGAUCAGUAGGUUUAAAGUCAUUGAGAUGGUGGGCUGUGAUGCUUGGAUUGUUAACGAUGAUUAAUUUAUGGAUUAAUUUUUGAAAAAAUAGUAUUUUUCCUCUCCAAGUUUAGAGGUGUAUUUUACAUCCCUUUUGAACUUAGAAGCAGCACUUCAAAAGAAAAACUUUAUUUCAGAGUAUUUUCCAUGCACCAUGCUGGUUGGUUGUACAAGUGAAGUUGUUCAUUUUAUUCUUUUCUUUUCAAAGAGAAUAUAUUUGAAUGCAGUUUCUUUACACAAACUUUGCUCGUCUCCACUCUCAUCUUCAACAUCAUAAUAAACAAGAGAUAAGGUUGAGUUAUUAGGUCUAGUUUGGUAUUGCUACGUUUUUUGUAAAAAAAUAUUUUCUUAAAAUAUACUUUGUAUAAGUGUUGUGAAUAGAAAAAUAAUGUUCAAGUGUUUGGUAAAUUUUUCUAUAAAUUUGCAAUAACUAAGACAGUUAGAAGGGUUGAAGGUCCGGGAAGAGGUGGAGGCUCAAUUACACGAGAACCCCCGCCAGCCCUGGGACUAGCUUGCUUUCGUAGGGUCCGAAUUUGGAUCUUGGCAUGUCGGUGGUUUUUAACCGUAGGCAUCUUUGCCACGAAGUUGAUGGGCUCAUCGUGAAUCAUGAAUAACCAAAAAGGACAUUGAUUUUAAUUUUAUUUUUCAGUAAACUAAUAUAAAUUUGGAAAUAUAUUAUAAAACAUAAAAUCUGAAGAAAAAAACUAAAACAUAAAAUUAAAAUUAAUUCCAAGAAAUUAAUUCCAAGCAGACCCACCCCACCCAUUCAAACCCCCUCCACGACCAGACCACCCAUCCAAACAACCACCACGACCAGACUAUCCAUCCAAACUGCCGGACAACCCAUCCAAACCGCCAUCGUGACCAGACAACCCAACCACCACCCAGCCCAGCUCCUACCCUCGCCUAAUGGCCCUAACCCACUUCCACAACUCGCAGCCACCACAUUGGCGUGCCCAUCUCAAUUUACCAUUGGUGCAAGCAUCUCGAUCUAUCUUUCCCAAUCAGCAGCCAUACCCGCUUCUAUGUGCACUCUCUCACUCUAGUCAUCUAAGCAAAGGAUUUCGGUCUCAUGAGAUAGCAAGCAGGAGCUUGGAGGAGGCGGCGAGCAGAAAGAAAGGGCCUUAAUUGUGAAAAAACAAGAAUUUUUUGCUUACCAAAGAUAUAAUACAGCCCAGCAUUUUUUCAGAGGAAAACUAAUGAAAAGGGCUUGAAAACUUUGAGUUUUAAUGAUAAGGACAAAAUAAAGGGUAAAGUGAAUAGUACCAGGAUUGACUUUUUAGUGUAAAAAUGUGGUUUUUCAUUAAAGUGAACAGUACCAGGUGUUUUUCGUUAAAGUUCCCUUUUUUCAGACAUGCUUUUAAAAGAAUUUAAGCACUCCCAAACUAGACCACCGACGGUUUCUAAUAUACUUGGGUAAUUCGUUUCGAUCUGUUAAAAAAAAAUUAUUUUGAUAAUUUUAAAGUUUAAUUACUAAAAGAUUUAUUAUAAAAUACAAUAGUCAUAUUAAUAUAUACAAUAUAUUCUAUAUUAAAUAUAUAGUUUUGUAUUAUUAUUCUAUAUAAGUUUAAAAAAAAGUUUUAGUCAUUAUAUAUUUUUAUUAUAAGAGUUCUUUAUUAUCAUUACUAUGAUAUAUUUUACUUAACAUGUUGUUGUCCAAAAUUAAAAUAAACUAGUAUAAUAUUUGUAUAGACAAGAACUAAAAAGACAUACAUACAAGUAUGAAAAAUGUGAAAGAAUAUAUAAACACUCGUGAUUCAUCAUUAUUCCUCCACGAGUAGAUAAUGGUUACACUUACAUUAUCAUUUAGAUUUUUAAAGCCCUCCAAACCCUCAUGAAUAAUGUUUUUAUUUGAGGGCAAAAUUAAUAAAAUUAAUAAUAAUUAUUGUAGAAGUGUAAAAAAUGUAAAAUAUAUAUAUAUAUAUACACACACAAUCACUCAUAGUGACAAGCUUUACAACUUUCAUGAAGGGAUCAGCUUCGAAAUCCAACAUUAUAAUCCAUAAACCUUAAAUUUAUAUUUAACCGUCGAUUGUCAUUUACGUUUUAUUCUUCUUACUGAAUUUCAUUUUUUUAAUUUUCUUUUUUGAAAACAUGAUCAUCUGGCGGAUGUAAGAAGAUGAACGGUUCAGAUCUUUGAUAUCAUGUUUUGAUAUUUACGGUUAACUGAAAUAUGAGUCGAUGUCAUAUAGUUUGUAAAAACCUUAUAAACAUCAAGCAAUAUUUUCACUAAUCGUAAAACUCUGAAUAUAAUAUCAACGAUCCAAACCGUUCAUCUUCCUGCAUCCUCUAAUAGAUCAUGUUUUCAAAAAAGAAAAUCUGAAAAAACAAAAUUUGAUGAGAACAAUGAAGCGUAAAUGUAAACAAUAAUCAACGGUUAAAUUUUGAUCUAUGAUUUAUAUGAUUAUAGUGGCGAAUUUCGAAGUUAAGCCCUUCAUGAAAGUUGUAAAGCUUGUCAUUACGAGCGUUUAUAUAUUUGUUACACUUCUACAUUAAUGAAAAAACUAUUAAAGACUUUACUAAAUAACAGCUGUAAGAUAAAUGAGAGUAAAUCUGCACCGUUGGAUUCUAUUUCACUUACAUUAUUAGAAUUUUUUAGGACGAAAAACCCCUCCUCUAUUCCAAUAUUUUCCAAUUUUACCAUUUGAUCAAUUUAGGUAAGCAAAAAUAUACUUAAAAGAAAAAUGUGUUUUUAUGUUUUGGAUGUGACAAUAUGGUAUGUAUAUACUUAUUUAGUAUUAUGUUUUUCAUUUGAUUAUUUAUUGGUUUAAAAUAUAUUUUCCUUAACGGGUAACGGAUCGGGUCAUAUUACCUGUUAAUAUUAUCGGGUCGAUUUCGAUCGGGUCAUUUUACCCGUUUAUUUUAACGGGUGUUACACGACACGACCCGUUAAGAUAUCGGAUAUGACACGAAAACGACAUGAACACGAAAAACACGACACUAAUGCCAGGUCUGUCCCAAACUAGUACUAAGUCCUUCAAAUAAAUAAAGUCAACUUAUGCUUGCCAACUACCACUUCUUCAAAAGGGGUUCUAUGUAGAAAUCUCAUAGAUGACAGUUGUUCAUUAAUUAAAAAUGAUAAGUCAUAAAAGACCUAAGUUUAGCCAUAAUGGCUAGAGCAAUGUGCUCUACCAUUUGAACUCAAGUUUGAAUCCCAUGAAUUCAGUAUUAGUAUCCUAUCAGUUGUUAAAUAAGAAUGUGGGUCAUGGGUUUGGAUCUUUGGUCCAGUUGGGUCUAAUAAACUCAAACCUAAGUCCCAAACCAUUUCAAUGUGUUUAGUUCAAUCAUGUUGAAUCAGAUUGUGAACAACUUAAAUUUCCUAUUUUAUAUCAUAUCAGAUACAAUAGCAUGAGUUUUUAAGCUUAAACUUACAUUCACAUGUAGUGAAGGUCGCUUAUAAACGAUCGUGUUAAGUUCAAUUCCUAGCAUGAGUGAGAUGAUGUCAUAGUUGCAAGUGCUUUGUCAAUGCUUAUGAUUUUCAUUAAACAUAAUGAUCUUUUAUUGUAUCUCUAUUAUGAUGUCAUGUAGGGAACUUUAGAAGAAUGUUUUGGGUUGUCGAAUGAUGUCAUCCAAUCCAAUAAAACAAGGAAAAUCUGAGAGUUAACUAGUGAUGUCACGGUUAAUUUGGAGCAUUGUCGUUCAUAAUUCAGUGAAGUAGUAACUGGAAAUGGAGUUAUUUGCAUACAUGUCAUGUGUGGAGAAAAAGCCUCUAGCUAUCCCAUCCAUUAUCUUAUUUCUCAAAUUUGUUUUACAAUCUGUCUAGUUUUUCAUACUUGUUUGUUUGUUUCAACUUCGUCCAAAACUCAAUCCCCCUUUACUUUAGUGUGUCUAAUUAGUUAGAAUCUGUUUUAAUUUGUGUUUUUAAAUAUUUUGAUUCAAGUAAAAGUCAAUUUUCGUCCAAAGUCAUUCCUAGUGUCUAGUUUAAGUUUAUUUAGUUGUUCUAAGCUGGUUUGAGUAUUUUAAGUUUGCUUUGAGUCUUGUGAGUCUUGUUAAGUAUUUUUAAGUUUAGUUUUAUGUUUUUGAGUCAGUUUAGAGGUUAUUAGCAAGCCCUCCUAAUCCCUGGUCCAGAACGAUCCCUACUUAUACUUAUACUACAGUUGUCAAAAGAUGGUUAAAUUUGUGUGUUAAGAUAAUUUUUGCAUCAGGCUUGCACCACAAUCUCUUGCUCAAUAGUGUGGAAGCAAAAUUUGUAUAUGUUGUCUCUCCCACAUUUUCAAAUUUCUAGUUUCCCAAGAAAAAAAAUUGGGAAAUUCAACAAAGCUUCAUCAAUGGAGGACAACUACAAAUUCUCAAAAGCUUCACACUAUCUUGAUCAAGAUAGUGUGAAGCAAAAUCAAUUCGUGGUACCCAACAAAGCUUCACCACAAAAGCUUCACCAACAAAAGCUUCAUCAAUGGAGGACAACUACAAAUUCUCAAAAGCUUCACACUAUCUUGAUCAAGAUAGUGUGAAGAAAAAUCAAGUCAUGGUACCCAACAAAAGCUUCAACUCCAAAGCUUCACCUACAAAAGCUUCACCCAUAAUAGCUUCACCUACAAAAGCUUCACCCAUAAAAGCUUCACCCACAAAAGGUUCACCCAUCACAAAAGGUUCACCCACAAAAGCUUCCCCCAACACAAAAGCUUCACCAACAAAAGCUUCACCUACAAAGCUUCAACAUAAAAGCUUCACCUACAAAAGCUUCACACUAUCUUGAUCAAGAUAGUGUGAAGCAAAAUCAAUUCAUGGUACCCAACAAAGCUUCAACCUCAAAGUUUCACCUACAAAGCUUUAAAAUAUAUAUAUAUAUAUUUAUUUUUUUUUUCGGAAAUUCGAAAAUUCGAAAAUUCGAAAAUUCGAAAAAUAGAAAAUUAUAAAAAAAAAAUUCGAAAAAAAAAUUGCCUAGGCCUCUUCUUCUUUGGGCCUAACAACUUUCAUAACAAAUAUAUAUGAAGAAGAAGUUUUGGGCUACCAUUUAGAAAGGAAACGCCUCAUUCGUCAACUCCCUUGACCGGAGACUUGGGGGACUCCUACCACAUGCUACUGCACCUUGAUACUCGGAAGUCUCACGACCACUCAGUGACUAGGAUUUUUCAAGUCUCCAAACAAGAAGUUUUCCUCACUUGGGAAAUUAAGGGAGCAGUACCUCAACCUACAUGCUUCACUCAUAAAGCUUCAACAUACAAGCUUCAACAAAAGGAAAAAUUCAAAGAACUUAGUGAAGAAGGCAUUGGUGUAUUUAACACAAUACGUCAGAAAUAAAGCAAAGCUUGUUUAUUGAUAUCUCCGAUAAGUUACAGAUAUGUACAUAUACAUGAAUCAAAAUAAACAAACAAGAGGGAGCCUUCACAAAGGUUGCUCAGGAGAAGUCUCAGCAGUCGGCAGAGCCCCAGAAAGAGGAGGCACCAAAGGGUGAUAUUCGGAGCCUCAGUACUAGGCAGAACCCCAGAAUGAGGAGGCACCGAAGGUUGAUCAUUUGGAGCUUCAUUACGCGGUACAGCCCCAGAAGAAGAAGGCAAUAAAUGCCUUUGGAACAAACCCACAAACCUCUGAUGAUCAAGUAAAAUCUAACCAUCAGAUUCCUGCAGCUGGUCGAGCUUCCUCUUCAUGUUUAUAGCAUAGUCAUGUGCGAGCCUAUGCAACUAUUUAUUCUCAUGCUUGAGCCCUCUGAUAUCCUGUUUGAGACUUAUCACUUCAGCCGCCAAUGAUUCAACUUGGCGGGUUCGAGCAAAUAGGCGUUGGGUCAUAUUAGACACAGAACCUACAUACUGAACACUGAGAGCCAGAAAAUCCUUAACAGCCAACUCAUCAGACCAUUUGGAAAGUAGUUUGUUAUCUUUGGGAGUGAGAAGGUUCCUGGCCACCACCGCAGCGAUCAUAUCAUUCUUCAUCACAGAGUCCCCAACGGUAAGAGGACCAGUAUGGGAUAAGAAGGAUGGGCACCAUAUGUUGUCUUGAUAAGGCAUGGUUGCCUUUUCACCAAAGUUCAAGUUAAAACAACGGUUGGAUGGGCCAGACAUUCUCAGAAAUGAUGAAGGAGAAAUGAGGUGCAAUAAAUCUCUAAAGUAAGGGGAAAAUUCAUACAAGUAAUAACUCUCUGAAUGUACUUCUAGCACACAAUUGGUGCCCUUAUAAAAGAAAGGGCAACAUGGCCGUUGGUUCAAAAAUCGAAGAGGCACCACUCUCUGAAUUCCGAAGAGACACCACUUUCCACAUGCAAUAUCAGCUCAUCGGGUACCACAGAUAACUUUGCUAAAGAUCUCUGACAAAGUUUAGACACAUAAAUUUUGAAGGUUCAACUACCCUACUAUUACCCACAAGGGUAAAGGAACAGCACUACUGCUUGAUAACUAGAAAGUCCCAAUGUGUGUCAACCUCUGUGCUCCCUGGCAAGGCAGACUGGCAAAAAUGCCCAACCUUUACUCACAUUUGAGAAAACACUCCCAAUAAGAUUGCUUGCUUAAAAAUCGAAGAGGCACCGCUUUCUGAAUCUCGAAAGCUAAACUUCCAACAGGAUUACGUGCUCAAAAAUCGAAGAGGCACCGCCCUCCGAAUCUCGAAAGCCAGACUCCCAACAGGAUUACUUUCUCAGAAAUCGAAAAGACACUGCUCUUCGAAUCUCAAGAGCCAAACUCCUAACAGGAUUGCUUUCUCAAAAAUGAAAGAGUCACCGCUCUCCGAAUCUCGAGAGCCAGACUCCUAACAGGAUUACGUGCUCAAAAAUUGAAGAGCACUGCCUUCCGAAUCUUGAGAGCCAGACUCCCAACAUGAUUACUUUCUCAAAAAUCGAAGAGACACUGCUCUCCGAAUCUCAAGAGUCAAACUCCCAAUAGGAUUGCUUUCUCAAAAAUAGAAGAGGCACCGUUCUCUGAAUCUCGAGAGCCAAAUCCCUGACAGGAUUGCUUGUUAGAAAACCGAAGAGGCACCGCUCUUCAAACUUCGAGAGCCAGAUUUCCUUGGAUAAAAAUUGUCUGCAAUCUUCACAUGCAACAUCAGCUUUCCAGAUACCACAGACCACUUUUUCAAAGUGCUCUGACAAAGUUAAAACACGUGAAGCUUGCAGCUCCCACUACAUUGCUAUGACCAAGAAAGGUAAAGGAAUAACACUACUACUUGUUGUUAGGGAGACUCCUAUAUAUGUCGACCUUCAUCCUCCAUAGCCAGGCAGACCUGCAAAUAAAAAAAAUGCUCAACUUUUCUUCACAUCCGAGAGGGCACUCUCAACAGAGUCUCUCAAAAUACUCAGCUUCUUUUCCUCCCGAUAAUACCUCUGCAAACAAGCCACACUAGAGCAAGAGUAUCUCAUAUCAUCAGGGUCAAAAGCAAGAGUAUCAUAUAUCAUGCUUUUUCCCUGUCUUUUCCUUUGGCCUUGUUCUUACCUGAAAGACAAUGAGAAAGAGAGCAAUCAGUCAGCACUUGGAAUCAAGCUUCUAGUCAGGAACUGGCUGCCUGGAACCCCUUGCCUGAUUACUUACCUGGCAUUGCUCUCGAGUACUCAUCUUCAA